rnacentral:lncRNA from 1 species
UUAAUGAAUCUACAUCAAAAUUUUAGUUGACUCGAUAUCUUUUUAUGAGGUGCUCUUCAUUUUAUUUGUUUUAUUUCCCAGGAAAUGGCCCAUCGUUGUUUUGUUUGCUAACAUGACUCUGUGAAGAGUGUAAUACUGUGCCUCUCCAGAUAUUUUAAAGAUUUUUUUCACCUAGUGCAAUACAAGAAUUUUGGUGCUUGAGCCUUGAGGGCAAAUUGUAGAUUCCAAUGUCAGUACCUCUUGCAUGUCUUAGCUUAGUUUCCAAAGUUGUUGUCCUUGAUUACUUGGAAAGUGUUCUUUCUAUUUUUUUUUUUGUUUUCCUUAACAUGUCCUCUUCUCAAGGUGCUUUUAAGGGUGCUGUUGCUCAUGCAAUGCUAUUGUUGGCUCUGACGGUCGUUUUUGCUUGUUAAGAUUACAAUCUUUCAUUCAGUGUAUUUUGGUUGGUGGCUUACUUUGCUCUAGUUUCUACUUCCAUCUUGGUUUGUUUAUGAAUGCAUCAGUUAGUGCCAAAGCUGGAAACUUCUCGAUGCUUCUUGCUGCAUGGAGGUCCAUACAAUCAUGCGCACCACCUUUUUCUUCUUUUUUUUUUCCCCCCUUUCUUUUUCGUUUUGGUUUUCUAUGUUCUUCUGUAAUUUGGAAAUCAUUUAGAGCCUCCAUCUGUUUGUUUGUUUUUUAAUCAAGUUCGCAUCUUGUGUCUAUGGCUCAACAUGUACUCAUCUCACAAGGUUUUACGCCCCCUCCAUCAGUGUUUACUUGAGGCUUCAGUGCAUGCGUACGUACUGCAAGUUUCAUCAUGUAGUUCCUGAGGAGAUCUGAUUUGAGGGAAAAUUGCUUAUAUAUCUUUUAUAAAAGUUUCUGUCCUUCUUAUUUAUAUCUCUGAGAAGGCUAAUAUUAAAGAUAUUUUUUUAACAUUUUAAGUUAUUUCAAAUAUAUUUUGAGAGUUGAAUUCUAUUAGUUAAAUGUUAGGAAUAAUCAUGAUCUUUGUAGAAUUACUAUUUUGUCUUUUCAAGUAUAUACUUCUACGGUCACCAAUUUUUUUUUAUUUGCUCGAGUUAUGGGUAAAAAAAAUAUUUUGAUUUUUUUGUCUUUUCAAAUAUAUUUUUCCAUCGUUAACAACUUUUUUUAUUUAUCCUUAAAUUAGUGGCAAAGGGUAGUUUGACUUCUUUUUUUUUUUAACUCUGGUAGAAAUAAUUUAAUUCGGGUUUAAUUCGAGAUGACUUAAUGAGUAUUAACAACAGUAUUAUUUUUGAAUAACGGAGAAAUAUACGGGAAUAUAUUUGAAACAAAAAAAAUAAGCGUAUAUAAGAUAUUCUAGAAGUUUUGAGGGGUAUUCCUUAAUUUUAAGUGCUUGUUAUUCAGCAGAAUUUUGUGUUAAUUCAAAUUUAGGGCCAUGGGUAUGAAAUCUGAUAGGAACCUUUGUAUGAUUGUAUCUUUGGGGAGUCUCAUGUUUCUUGCGAUUGCUUUCUUUCUCAUGAUAUAAAUAGUCAAACACACUUGCAGAUGUCCACUUUUUGAAGGCCAUCAUUUUCUCAUGUAGUUUUGUUAGAUUCUUGUUUCUCUCCUGUAACCAAAUUGACGAAUUCAGUAUCUGAAUUUGUUAAUCAAAUAUUUUUUCACUUAUCAAAUGAAAAUUAUUAUAAGGUGGGAACAUUGUAUUUCAGUUGUGGUUAAUUGGAGCUUCCUUAACCAAACAGUUGAGACUUGAGAAAUUGUAGGGAUCAUGAACUUCGUUGAUUCGAGUCUUUAGAACAGGCGCAUCACGCAAGAGUGGUGAAGCUUCUUAGAAUGGGCUUCUGAACUUACCCACCUUAGACCCAAUAUUUAUAUACCUAUAUUUGAUUGAAUGAAAUUUAAGAUUUCAUUAAAGAAAAAUGAAAUUUUUAUGUGUAACUCAUAACAAAAUAAACAAAGAGCGGAAAAAAAAAAUUGUCUUAUUUUUUCACAAGUAUAUAUUAUCUCUCUCCACAAAAAGCAAUCAAACUCCUUAUUUCUCCACAAAUUGUAAUUAAAGGGUCUUCAUCUCCCAAAAGGAAAAUAAUUAAGUCUUUCUUAUCUUCCAUACAUAUUAGAAAUUUAACAAAAUCUAAAACUUUUUUUCUAACGUAUAUGAAAACUUGAAAGCUAAAGUAGGGAAAUGUGAUAUUGGGAUUUGCAGAUUAGGAGAAUGAGAUGUUAAAAAUUAUUAUUGAAAUUUAAUUUAUUAACAUAAAAUACAUUAAAAAUUCGGAUAUUGGUAUCCAUAUUCAUUUUUCUCGGAUAUUUAGAUAAUUUUGACUUUCUAAAACCAUAUAUCCAACUGGAUCCGAAUAUUUUCUAUCCGGAUACGAAUAAUAUUGGAUAUGGACACAAAUAUUUUCAUAUAAUAUCCUAUCCGUCUUCACCCCUACCCCAUUUGGAAUUGUAAAAGUUUUCUGUGUAUAAAUAUGAUGCAAAUAUGAAUCCCAAAUUAUAUGUCUCGUCAUAAAUAAAAUUCUUAAUAAAGCAUAAUGGAGCUUGAUAAAAAAAAAAAUAAAAGAAUCCAAUAACAGUUUGUUGGAAAUAAUAAUCCAAACUUAAUUAAAAUAUAGUUAGAAAUAAGUUUAAGUCUUUUAUUUGAUUACGAUUAGAAUUUGUAGUUAUCCAAUUAGGCAUGUGUUAAUUAGAUGAAGAAGCUAUAGUAGAUAUGGCUGCAUGGGUAUUACCCAGGAUGUAAUUAUUUGUUUUUUAUUAAUUUAGUAUUAGUUUAAUUUUCUUCUUCCUCCUCUAAUAUAUCUUCUUCAUAUUAUUUUGUUCUAUUUAAAUCUUGGGUUACAUAAUCAGUAUCAGCACAAAUACCUGUUUCAACAAGUGGUAUCAUAGUAAACCACGCUUCCAACAAGUGGUAUCAGAGCCGAAAAUAAGUCAAAUGACAGCAGAUUCGAAAAGAAUAUAGAUCCAAUGUACUAAAUAGCUAUGUCAAAGUCAAGCGACUCGUAGUAGAUUGACGAAGGUGACGUUCAAGUGAAACCGAAGGAAAGAAUCGCUUCGAAGAAGUUCGCCUCCACACAACACACAAGAGAAAGUGGUUAUGACUCUUGACGAAAAAGAGAGCAAGUAGAGCCUGUGAAGAGAUCAAAAAAGAUUUGACCAGAUAGCCUGAAGGGCUAGGCAAACAAGCCGAAGUACGAAAACCUUAGCUAGAUCUCAAUAGAACGUCAAUACAUCAAAAAGGUACAUGUUUGAAACUUAAUUUUUUAAUUUUUAAGUUUCGUUAUGGAUUUAGAUGGUUUUUCAACCUAAUUUACCAAAGUUCGCGUCUGUGAGACUAACUGAGAGCACCAGUGGAUUGAUCUCGACGAAGCGAAGCCUGUGCUCACUGUCCAGGGCAAGAAAAACUACCGAGGAGUGCUCCGGAGCCAAGAUUACAACAAUCUAAUAAAGGCCUCGGGAGUGACAUUGCAAAAACAACGAGCCGACGGUUCUCCGACAGAAACCGAGGUGAGCACGGUGAUCAACGAUGACUCUAGAUCACCAUGCUCACCUUCCGUAGAGUCGGGGGUUCCUGGAUGGCUGGAAUAAUGAGAUGGGCCAAAAACACCCUAUUACCGGCAUUGCAGGGAGCUACUAGCUCCUGCCGGCCACUGGCCGCGGGCUCGCGACCCAGGGGUGAGUGCGGAGGGGGAGGGGAGUAUCGUGCUCACCUUAGCUGGUGGCGGGGACCGGCGGCGGCGGGGCUAGAGAAGGCUAGAUCCAACUCGAGCUAGAGCUCAACCUGGGAUGUGCUUCCCAGCAACAACGGCUGUCGGGGAGGCAAGCGGCGACGGCAGCAUGUCCCCCACGACCGGAAGGAGGCAGCGGCAUUUCUCACGGGCAACAGCGGUGGCGGCGCUGUGAAGAAGCGCUACUAUCUCUGCCUGUACCCAACCAAAGAAGGCCGCAGUAGCCUCGGCGGAGCUCGGCGACUACGAAGGUUGCCGGGAAGGGAUAGCCAGUGUCCAGGGGUGCCGGAGGGGAGGUCUGCAUGAUGCUGCCCUCCCCUCAUGGUUGCCAAGCCCAAAGAGUAAGGGAUAGGAAGAGAAAACCUGAGAGAGGGAGAGGGAGUGUUGCUUGCAGCAAGUUGGCCGACUGGGAAGGGAUCGCCAACAACCGAGGACGAGCACGGUGUUGUCAGAGGAGGGGAAGCGCUGCUGCCUAUGCCUGUACCCAACCAAGGAAGGCCGCAGUAGCCUCGGCGGAGCUCGACGGCUACAGGGGGGUUACCGGGGAGGGAUGGCCGGUGUCCAAGGGUGCCGAAGGGGAGGUCUGCACGAUGCUACCCUCCCCUCGUGGUUGCCCAAGCCCAAGGAGUAAUGGAGAGUGAGAGGGAACCUGAGAGAGAGAGAGGGAAAGUUGCUUGCAGCAAGUUGGCUAACUGGGAAGGGAUUGCCGGCAGUCGAGGGUGAGCAUGGUGUUGUCAGGGAAGGGAGAGGAGGCGACUAGGGCUCGAGAAUGGAGAGAGAGAGGCUAGGGCUAGGGUUUGGAAGGAGAAAACCCUAAAUGCAACUAUAUACAUAGAAGUAUAAUUGCAGAAAACCCCCUCAAAAACUCCAAUAUUCAAUCUGAGUCCUUCAGGGCACAUGUAAAACACGCGAAUGCACCUCCUCAAGCGGUCUCUCACGUUUCGAUAUAUAAAAUAUUGGGACUUUCAUGAAAAAAGCCAAAAUACCAUAUCGGCCCUUCCUCAAACAACACGCGAUUUCGAACGUUCGGUUAGCCCGAUUUACGAAACGGAUUGUACCAGCAAUUCCGGCACUACCAGUGUGAGGAUUUGGCUCCCCGACACUUCGUAUCACUUUUGGUCAAAAUGACCAAAGCGUGGCGAGAGGGAUGAUUGGACAUAGUCUAUACGUUGUUCCGAUAAUGUCGGAAAGGUUAAAGUUAAGUUCCGAAGGUGUUUAGCUGAUUUUAACAUUGUUCGGCAUGAAAUUGGGCUUAAACACUGCUAAAACUGCAGUCUAGGCACUUGGUACCGGUACUGGCACUUGGUACCGAUACUUGGCAAUGAAGCAAAGAAAGUCUGCUCUCGGGUUUGGGAGAGCUGGGCGGCGUACUGGUACUGAUGGUCGAGUACCGGUACCUGAUAAAUAACCCGAGAAGGGGUUGCUCUCUAGUUUGGCUGCUGCAAAGCAGGUUACCAGUACUCGGGCCCGUGUAAUGGUACUAGGGCACCCGCGUGCCGGUACUCGGCCCCGUGUACCGAUACCCGAUGGCCUGCGUAGAAAGGGGUGCUCAUCCACCCGAGGGUAUCGGUACUCAAGCCCGAGUACCAGUACCUAGUGUUGCGAACAGCAGGUUGUGAACUGUUGUAAUUUUUAAUGGUUGGAGGACUUAAAUGCAAUUGUGGUGGCUUAUAAAUAACCCCAACCUCCUCCAUCUCUGUAUACAUGCAGAAAAUACCCUCCCCCACCCUCAUUUAUCUAUUUUUCUCCUUCUCUCUCUCUAGACAUCUCUCCAAGAAGGCUAUUGGAUGAGAUUUGAAUGUGAUUUAGGGCUUUUGGAGUGGGGGGAGCUCUCCUACAAGGUGGAGCUUGGAGUGCUAGUUGGCUAAGGUGAGGUUUCUUGCAAGAUCUUUGUUAGCGUUUGGUUUUAUACCCUAAAACACUUAUUUUUGAACUUCUUACAAGAAUGGGAACCUAGAUAACCCUAGGAAUCUCAUGAUGAACACAUGGUGUUCAUGGUAUGAAACCCUAGGGUUGGAAUUAGGGUUUUUGUAGAAUGAGGGUUUAUGGUUAAAUUGAUCCUUUGUAAACAUAAUUGAAGGUAAAACCGACGUGGUGGGUAGGGCUGUAAACGAGCCGAGCUCGGCUUGAAUGUCUUUAGGUCGGCUCGUGUUCGGCUCAAGCUCGUGACGAGCUCGAAAACUCCAGCUCGUGAUUGGCUCGCAACUUAAUCGAGCUAGCUCAAGGCUCGUUAUCUCGAUUAUUCCACUCAAUCUCAUCGUUCUCAUCGUUCUUCCACUCAUACCCUAUAACGAACCCCCCGAUUACCCCACCCCGAUCCCGAUCCCCACAACCAACUGAUGAUACCAAAAAUUACAGAAAAAUUGGGGCAAAAAAACCUCGAGCUCGGCAUAUUUCAUGGCGAUGGGGACGUAGAUGAGGAAGAUCCGGCCAUGGCGAUCGCCGUGUUACGGCACCAGUGCUUGGGGCGGCUGUAGGGUCCCCCCGUCAUGCUCCACACCUUCUUCCUGAAAUCCCCCUGUCUCUCCGCCAUGGCCAUGCCCGUGGCCGUGGCCUCCGCCUCUGUGGUGAUCACCGCCGCCGCUGACGCCGCCCAUGGCUGUGUGAAGUGUGAAAACACAUGGGAAAAGGGAACUAGGGUUAGAAAAUAGGAAUAGAAGGACUUAAAGGUUGAUGCAAUACUAACCAUUAGAUUUUAAUCCAACAGUUAAAAUUUUAAAUAUAAAUGGGCCCAUGGGCCUCUUUUAUAAAUAAAUAAGCUCAGCUUUUUUGUAAAGUUGGGCUAAAAAUUUAAAAUUAAUAAUCAGUAUUAUAUAUUUAUAUACAAAUAUAAUUAUAUAUAUAAUAUAUAAAAAUUAUAUUAAUAUAAAAUAAAUAUAAUCGGGCUGUUAUUGAGCCGAACACGAGCGAGCUGACCCUAGCUCGUGUUCGGCUCGUUUAUUAAACAAGCUGAAAAAUUCAGCUCGUGUUCGGUCUCGUUACUAAACAGGCGAGCCGAUCAGUCGAGCUUCAUUUCAAGGUCUGAACACUGAGGAAGCUCGGCGAUCAGCGAACUGGAUUGCCACCCCUAGUGGUGGGCAACUCAAAUCGGGGUUCCUACGGGUGUACGGCGAGCCGUUGAGGAAAACUACCAUUUCUGGUUCGUUAGUGUUGGGUCCAGACAAAACGACAUCCAUAAAUCGUGUGGCUUGGAAUCUCUCCUCUUAGCAUCAAGCCAAGGUGGGGGGUGCUAUCCGAAACAAUCGGAUUUCCUUUUAUGUCUAUGUUGCUAUCAUUGAGCAUAUAUGUACAUAUGUUGAUAUCAUACAUUAUAGGAUAUAUGGUUAAAUGUAUUUCAAUUCCUUACAUGCUCUCAUGGUAGAGAUAAAAAACAUGAGUUGGACACAUGAUUAGUGGAUGCAUGAGGAUUGGGUCUUGACAUGGAAUCCUAUAGUGCCAAGAACAAAUGUGAACUUGAACAAUGUAGUGACAUAACAAGGGUGGCAUUUGAAACUAGUGUAUAGAUGACACUUAUGACAUGGAUAUUGGGAUUGGUAGAUCCCCGAGUGUGUUGUUAUCCCUAGUUGGUAGGGUAUCCUAGAGCUUAAAGGAUUGGAUCAUACUCACUUAGUCUGUUUUAGCUUGGUGGUGGUCGCUCCACCCAAGCAGUGGGCUCCGGAGUUGUCACAGAUUGGGUGUACCUACCCAUCAAACAGUUUCGAGUGGGUAUAGCGUGGAGUCUCCUCACCUAUGGGAUUUGGUUGUGAGUUGGGCUUAACCUUCGGGUUAGCCAGUGUGAUUGGGUUAUAAGUAUAUGAAUGACAUGCAUCAUGAGCAUAGUAAUUACCUUAUUCAUAUCACGUUGUUGAGGCAUAGUAGUAUGUUAGCAUUUCUUAUCCUUAUGUAGAUAUCUCUACUUAUGCUUACUUAGACCUAGUUGGAAAAUCGGCGGCGUCGGCGGCCGAACCCACUGGAAACUUUCGUUAGUUCUCAUCCAACUUUAUUGUAGGGCCUAGCACGAGCGGCGCGGUCGAGGAUUGCAGUAAGGGCAUAACGCCCUAGGAAGCGGACUUCCUUUUCAUUAGUAUACCUUGUAUAUACCAUGUGAGAGCUAUGUUACAUUUUGGAGAGACUAUGUAGUGAUGACAUGAUGUAUAAACUAAAGAUUUGUAUUUUGGUGAAUUGUAAAAGGAUGAUUAAACAAGUGAAUGAAUGUAAUAAUUUAGUUAAAUUUCUCUCUUGCUCUUGUGGUUUUCUCUCGCGCUUAUCAUGUAUGUUGAUUAUGUUUUACCUGGGCAAACUAGAUGUACAUUAUGUUGUUGAGUCUUGGGCGGAUAGUGAAAACCUUGUCUGUUCGGCAGUCCGCACACGAGCCCGAACUAACCAAAUUGGCGGUUGCGAGGCGUGGCGCAUGACAGCCAGACCAUCAAAUCAGUGAUUUUGUUUUGCUCGAAUCGGUAGCCGAUUCACGACGAAACCAAUCCCUCUCUGCCUCCACAACCAAAUACCUAUAUAUAUAUAUAUGUAUAUAUAUGUAUGUAUAUAUAUGUAUAUAUAUGUAUGUAUAUAUAUGUAUAUAUAUGUAUGUAUAUAUAUGUAUAUAUAUGUAUGUAUAUAUAUAUGUAUNNNNNNNNNNNNNNNNNNNNNNUAUAUAUCCAUAUAUAAUCGAAACCUAAACGAGGUAGAAAAUGCUUUGGUUCGUACUACGAACAUGAUUUUAUCUAUAUUAAGUCUUUACAAAAAACUUUACAAUACAUGUAAUAACUUUAAAAAAGAACUCGUAGAUAGAGGUUGAAUUAAACCGUAAUACGAUCACUUUGUAGAAUUUUCGUAGUAAAAACGAGUUUCAAAAGAAUAACUAAGGUCGUAUAUGUAUAUAAUUGAUCAGUAUAAAGUUCUUUAAUGUUUUCUUAAAAAACAAAGAGCUUGAAUUAAAAAGUUUCUCGAAUAAUAACGAAAUACAGGAGAAGACUAUUUCAUCUGUGUUAAUUCCCUUAUGAUGUCGUUUUGUACUACGUGGAAAGUACUUGGCUUGUUUGAAAAAGUCGUACUACUAUUUUUUCUCAACCUCAUAAAUAAUUAAACUUACAAGCGGAAUCACGUACGUAUGGUCUUUGGUUUAACUAGGUGUAACUUGUAAACAUCGAUUGAAUCAAAAGUCAUAAUUACCUUCUAGUAUUUAAGAUACGUAACACGGGAAUAUCGUGUGAGUGGAAAGUUUAACUUAAGAUGGUCGACUAUAAUAUGCCGUACUUAUCAAGCAAUCAGCGAGUUCCGCGUAGUCACCUAUGGCUGUAGAUAGCCACCGGUAAUUUAGUAACCGCUGUAUAUGUACUGUUCAAGUUACGUGUUAGCAGACUAAGAGCAUACAUACAACUAAAAUGUAAGUGUACUAUUAGGAGUUUCAAUAUAUUAUAUAUAUUCAAUUAAUUUACUUAUUUUGAUUGUAGAAAACAAGAGAUCUUCACAGGAAAACCAACAUUAGAAUGUUGAAUAUGUAGAUUUUCGAUUAAUUGAAAAAAUGAGAUCAGUAUAGUAAGAGAAAAAAACUAUGAUUUUGGGUUUUUCCCGACAUAUUUGGGAUCCCCCUCCUAAUGUUGGAAUCUAAUCCCCAACAUCUGGAUGUUGUAAAAACCGAACAUCGAUCCAAAUCGUAAAGAGAUAUUAUCUUCUUUUACGGACCAAUGACGUACUUAUUAUAAUGAGGUUCAUGACUAUUAUAAUCGUACGUAAUGUAAAAUUAAAUAUAAUCAAUUGAUUGUACUAUGAAUUAAAGAGUAUUCAUCGUACUAUCCUAUAUAAUUAUGAGAUAUACAUCCUCAAUACAAUGAAAUAAGGUGAGUUUAUAUCAAUAUUAGAAAGUUGCACACUUCCUGCCCUAUAAUUUGUAGUUUUGAGUAGUGAACAAAACAAAACUCGGGCUCAUUACGUUACUUUAUCUUAUAUAUUAGGUAUACCAGUAAAGAAAGAAAACAGUACGUAGAUCGAUAAUAGUGUGUUCGAAACUAUCGGUGUUUCCGUGCUAAUCACUGACUUUAUCAAAAUACAUUACAAGAUUAUUAAUUUGUUAUUUAAGGAAGCAUUUUUUAUUUUUUAUUCAUGUGUAUUACUCUCAAGAUUUAUUAUAAACUAAUGGAAUUGGUUAUUUCUUCCGUUUAAUUAAUCUUAAUAUUAUAAUUAUAUAUAUGUUUUCACGUUGAUAUACAUAUAUACUCACAUAUGCAUACGUACGCUUGAUCAUCCAUUCUUCCUCGGUUAAAUCACUGAAGCCACUAGUAGUAUAGUAUAGUGGCAGUGUCCAUACACCUUAAUAUAUACGUGGUUGUGUAUAAUUACGAGUACGUAUAUACCAGGGUACGUACCCACAAGAGAAAACCAAAUUAUAUAUCCACCGAAUGUAAGUUCCCUUUUAUCUUCUCUCUCUCUCUCUCUCUCUCUCUCUCUCUCUCUACUAAGGUGUUGCGCACGUAAUUUAAAUCAGAGUACGAUACGGUAGUAGUUAACAAAAGAGUAUUAUAUAUUGCAUAAGAGAGAUGCGUUCCCUUUGUUUAAUUGACGUUUUUCCAAGGACACCGUAUCGUACACACAAAAGUACGUGUAACCACCAUCAUUUCAAGCAAAAAUACUGCAUCGUAUAUAGGACCCCAAAGGUAAGGGUAAAAGGUUAAACCUAACACAAAUCAACUUUAAAACUAGGUUUUAUUAGAAAUUUUCUUUUCCCCUUAGGUACCAAGGUUUGAGCCGUGUUAAUUUCUAAACUCCACUAUCAUUCUUUCACGUAACCUAAAGACUAAUCCUUUUUUUUUUUAGAUAUUAAAACAAUGUUGAAAACAAGUACACGUAACACCUCCCCCUCUACCAAUUUUUCUUCCAGGAAGGUGGUGAUACCUAGUCAACCGUCUAUGGGAGAAAAAACUUAUCAUUUAAAACCUAAACUCACAUGAGAAGUUCGUCCUCACACACAAGCAGUGCUUUCGGAUCAAUGUUCGCUACAAGUUUGUUAAUUACCUUUUUUUUACUUCAGCUAGGCAUUUUCUAUCCCUUAUGUAUCCUACAAUUUACAUUAUCCUUCUCCUUACGAUGAACAUGUUCGUUAUUCCUCCACAUUUAGAAUGUUGAGAGAUGUAUAGGUUCCUGGUUAAAACGUGUAAAAGCCUUAAAAUUAUAAUUUACGAAAUUAUAUUCGUUAAAAAUCAAAGACCCAAAUUUUUAAUAUGGAUUUGAAGUAGUUUAUCAAAUUAUCCGAGGAUUAAUUAUUAGAACUCGUUUAAAUAUUAUAAACUUGUCAACAAAGCUAACGUACAGAACAUAUAUUAAGUUUCCUUCUUCUUUGGAAAAAAAAAAGAAGAUCGAUAUAUACUGUUAAUUUGUAAUUAUAACUUUUUAUCUCACUUAGAUGCAAGUUAAAAAUAAUAGAAAAUUACACAAUGUUAUUUUUUCUAAUCUCAAAAAAAAAACACAAACUUCUGUAAUGUCCUAUCAUAUAUAUGGAGUUUUACUGAUAAGUUAAUCAGUGAAGCGAGUUCCUCUUUUUUUUUCUCCAGAAAUAACAUCAUCAACGUGUUGUAUCUUAUAUAGUGUUUGGUUUACGUACGUAGCUACGAAAUAUCCUACUGUUUCUCAGAUUAAUACUCAUUAUUAAAUAUCAUUGUAUUAUAAAAUUUUUAUAAAAUAAUAACAUGAGCACACGUAACACCUUCGUAAAAGAUCGAGCCUAUAAAAAUAUUAAGAGUACACCUGAAACUGCCUUUUCUAAUGGAGACUCCUCUCCCUAGAUUUUUUCACAAUUAUCCUGUUCACACGUUUUAACUAGGAACUUAAUUACCUCCCCCGCAUUCAAAACGUGAGUGAAAAAAUACGCAUGUGCAUCUUAAAGAGAUUUAUAUUUAUAAUUUUUAUAAGAAAAUUUAUUUUUUGCCAGCAUAGUAUAACAAAUUGUACCAUAAUCUCCUAUCGCAGUUUAUAUUUAUAUUCCUUGUAACAAGAAAUCAAUCAUCGAAUUUAAAAAUUUUUAUUUGCUAACAAAGUAUAAUAAAUUGUUUUUCUGGAAUCUCGCAACAGCAUAAUCAUGUUUAUUUUAACAUCCGGUAGGAUCGUUCUUGGGUGGUAUAGAAAAGUCUCUUUACGAUGAACUUGUCGGUGUUGACCCCGGAUUUAGAAUGUAGACAACUAGGUUCCUAGUUAGAUAGGUUCCUAAAUCUGAAAUCUCUUUGAGAAAGCUUAAAAGUUAUAAAAUUUUUUUUUCGACUCUUCCGAUCGACCACAUUUUUAUAACCUGGAACCUAUCAACCUACCUAUCGCAUAUUUUAAAUGUGGGUGAAAAAUUUAUAUGUGUGUCGUAACGUGUAGAAAAAGAAAAAAAAAAACUCUCUAUCUAUCGUGCGAUAGGCGAGGCAAAUAAAGUAAAUCUUUCCUAUUUUACGUCAUCUCGUGACGAUAUAAUAUAUAUAAUUUCAAAUUCAAACUUCAAUUUCAAGUUCUAGGUAUUAUAUCUGUAAGAACUAAGAUUUGGUAGCCUAGCUAAACUCUCUGUUGAUGAUGUUUUUGUGUGUAAUUUAAUUACAUGAACACUAGUCAAGUUUCAGGAGAAAACGAGUUAGGAUGGAGAAGUUACGCAACCUUCACUAAUCACUUAAAGUGAAUAGUAACUUCGAUUUUUUGGAAAGGCCAAUCAGUGGAGAUGGCUUCGGGUGCGUAUCGGACUCCGUUCAUAGUGAUCCAAUAGUUCGUUUUCGAUGGUUCGACUGUCCUGAACCCAAUGGCACUAACGGAUUUGGGUUUUGAUGCACGAUUUUCGAGAAAAAGGGAUUUUAUCACAAAAAGAGGUUUUUGUUAAUUAGAGAGAGAAUGGGUUCCGUCACAAAUCGACGACCUAAUCUGGUGAAACAAAAUAGUAGUUUUGAUGCCCCAGUCGUAUUGAACGCGCUGGCAUGAUCCGAUCAAAAAUCUGACGGACGGAUAGCUAGAUAUCUCGCGUUUACCGAGGAAUGGUCAAACUGAUCAUUUUCGUAUUUCACACGAAACCCUCUACAUAUUAUGCGCGGAAUUUCGUGAAAGUUGGUGGGCUGUGGCCCGAGGCUGUCAAUCACUCAUGGUCAGGGUCUCGGUUGAAAAUAUUGCAAUUUGAGAGAGUUACACGCGAUUUACUCGUCGCUAUAUAAGUUAGUUUCUAGGGUUUCAUCAUGGAAACCCUAACCCUAGUCUCUUGCAAUCUCGGCUAAGCCCUAGCCGUCGACCCCCCUCCUCCUUCUCAGCUCCCUGCGUGCAGCCGCCGCCGCCCCGCCGACCAAUCUCGGCUUGCCGGAGGGGCUGCCGAGCGCUCCAUCUCCAUCUCUCUCUCUUCCUAUUGGGUUGGAGAGAACGCUCAUGGCUGCAUUGCCUCCCUGCUCCCCGCCGGCGUCGCCCCAACCCCGCCAGAGCUUCCCCUGUUGGUUGUCGUCGCCCCCGCGCGCCGCCGUUGUCACCCUAGUAGCUUGCGGCCAAGCCGAGCAGGCUCGGGCAGAGGCUGCUUCUUCUCCUAGCCCGCGCGCCAUCGCCGCUCGGGACCACCAUGGUCGUCCACCCCGGCCCUCGACGACUCCCGUGCGCCAUAAUCGCCGUCCCCGUAGGUCGCCGCAACCUCUCUAGCUCCCUGCGACCGCUUCUGUGUAGCUCGAGCCGGUGCGGCCGAUCCUCGCCGCACUGCCUCCUUGGCCGCCGGCCACGCCUCCUUCCCUCGACUCUAGAGGUUGGCCACACCCCUUCCCUGCUUGCUUUGACCAUCGCCAUGGCCGAAGAAGUGAGGCAGCCCAAGGUGGGGGCCGUGCGGGCUCGACUUCUCCUCGCGCCGCCACUGCCACCUUACGCCGCCGGCCAGCAGGAGCACCGGCUCCCCCUGGUCAUCCGGACUCGAGUGCAGCCGGCGGUCCCGCCGCUAGAGGCCCCUGUCGGCCGGGCUGGACUUGAGCUCCCCAUCACCUUGUGCGGCUAGGGCAUCAUUACCCGCCACCGUCACCGCUUUCCGUCGCCAACUGACGCGCACCCCGACCUUCCCCUGUCAGCCGCAUUCACUUACUGCCGGUGCGCCGGCCGCCUGGCGGCCACCGGCCGUGCCAUGGCCCCCCAUUGCCCGGUAAGCUUUAUUAUGCUGUUUCGUGUAUUGUUUAUGGUUCAAAUCGCAGUUACAGCAACCCGGGGCUGUUCCGAUGCCUCUGGAGGAGAGCACGGUGAUCGCCGGUCAGUGCUGAUCACAGUGCUCACCUCAUUUGGGGUCAACGAGCCCCGGAUUGGGAAAUUAGACGUCUUUUAGUUUCAGCGCGCAGUGUUCGCUAAAUUUUGAGUCGCUCCUGCGCCUCCCACGGUGGACGGCCAUGCUCCAAAUCAUGAGCACGGCCUCCGGCACGUCGAGACUUGUCAGAGGGUGUCUCGGCUAGGCUCGAAAGUCCUCGGUUUGCGUUGUCGGGCCUUAAAACCUCGAAAAUCAUAUAAAAUGAUGUGAUUUUAUGUAGUCGCAGGGGCUUAAUUACAAAUUUACAUUUCGUGGUUGUUGUGGGCAAUGUGUGCGGGCAGCGGGUGACCUCUGGAUUGUUUGUCUAGGGCCCCAGGCCUUUUUGGAAAUCAGAUGUCGAUUUUCGUUGCGUUUUUUGGCGAAAUCUGUCGAUGGAACGCGGUUUUAGUUAGGAAUUCUUCCGACGAUGCCUCACGGAAAAUUAUAUUAUCAUUGAGCCUUGUUGGCUGGUCUCUCACGUCGUUUCGAGGGUUCAAAAAUGACGGGUGAGCGACGGUGGGUUUCGAUGUCGAAUCUGACACUUCCGGGAAUCCGGAUCGGAACGAUUAUCCAACAAUAAUCGUUUCGAUGUGAGGAUAUGUGUAUGUGUUUGCUGCCAGGUCACACAAAUUAUUGUGUUUAGUGGCAGCGGGUGACUCGUGGCACGAAUCGGUAAAUUCCGUGACAGUUCGUGGGCCCCGGCGGAGUCCCGAUGCGAUUUUCGGGACUCCCGGCGAGUUACGGUAAUUGAUUUUGGGAAAUCGAUUCUCGUGGGUUUUACAGGUAGGAUUGUGAGUUAGUGGUUCUUAUUCGUGGGUUGGAUUCUAACCCGAUGAACCUUUCGUAGGUCCGGUUAACGUUCUUCUGCAGACGGGAGACAGGUGCUACAUACGUACAGGUGGGUACUUUGACCUGAAGUCGGUACAGUGGUGCACGCUCGGUGACAUCCUCUCUAUCCAUUCCCUCUUAUUAUCUUACAUACUAUGUGUUGAGCCUGGCACCCAUAUUAUAUCAUUUUGCUCUACUUAGUUUCUUUACAUACUCAGCAUCAUGAUUUAGAAGUAGAGUGGCUUUGUGUUCUUAAGUGAGAUCUGUGACCUAGUCGGUCGACUUCUUGUAUCUCGUAUUAUGACCUUUUCGGUCGGUUCAUUGCAUCUGGUAUUGCGACCUACUUGGUCGACUGGACUACUUAAUGACUUAUACAUUUGGUAUACUCUGAGGGAUUGGAUUGUCGGCUAGUUGCUAACGGUUGGCUAUUGAGCAUAUCAGCAUCGAUCGUCACUGCUUGUACGCAUUUCACGAACACCAACGGUCUGAUCCACCGCAAGAGGGUAUUUUUUUCUAGAAAAGUAGUUGGGAGUUCCAGCCUGUGAGACUCGGGUGCUUUAUGCGAGGGUUAUAUGCUUUCAGAUUAGGGUGCUUUAUGCGAGGGUUAUAUGUUUUCAGACCCGAAUGCUUAUGCGAGGGUCAUUUACAGGUUUGAGCAGUUGUGGCACAGGCUUGAGGUCUGCGGACCAACAAAGCAGGUUUCUGAUUGGGUUACUUUUGAACUUGUCGUCCGGUUGAUGCAUACAUUCAGUAGCGGUAGUGAUUCAUAUAUAUAUAUAUAUAUAUAUAUCUCGUUUCCUUAUUUAUCAUUGCUAUUGUAUUACCUUUAUCUGCACUUUUGUUUAUCCUCCUUGACUGGUGAGUACCCUCGCUCUCGUCGGCUUGCGGUACCCACUCGGAGGGGAGACAUGUGUACAUGUUCUCACCCCCCACCCCUCUUUCAGGUGACGUCGCGGGUCCGAGUCGGGACGGUGCGCGAGGAGCGUUCCUAGUGAUUGAUUAGAACUCCUGCCUCAGUGGAUUUUGGUUAAAUCUCUUAACUUGCCAUUUGAAAUAAAUAACUUAGAUAUACUGGUUCAGUUGGUUUACUUUAUUUGAAUUCAUGUGGUUUUUGGAAUAUAAUAAAGGAUUUAUGGCUUUCUCCUGAGAUGAAAACAGUUUUCUACCCCUCGUGGUAGCGUGUUUUAAAAGAAAAAGGUUUCCGUGUGGAAAAUGGUUUUAAAAAGGUUUUCGUAGUUUUAUGAUUCUUAGUAUUUUAAAAUGAGUUUCCGGAUAGGAAACAUUUUAAACUGAAAAAUGUGAAUUUAUGUAUAUCUGUGAUGAAACGAAUGUGAAUGUAAAUGGUGAAUGUAUAUGAAUGUUCAUAUGUUUGUGGUUGUAUCUUGUACUUGUGCAACGCCGUGCAAAUAUAGGGGAGACUGUCCGUGUGAACAGUGAAUUUUCUGUAUUUGUGAUGGAUCUGACAUACUCUGGGGUCAAGAUUUGAAAAAAAAAAAAUUUAGGCACUUCCGCAUUGGCUUUUAAAUCAAAAAGGGACCCCGGGAUGUGACAAUAUCUAGAGGAGAAUGCCAGUUAUUUGAUUUUGUCGAUGAUGGUGUGGUGGUGUUUUGGAAUCUAAAGCAAACAGUAGAUAGAAGCAUGCUCUACUUUCUUUUGAAAUAAGGAAAUAGGCAUCAAGUAUUGAGGAGGGUACAACGAGCGACGAUUGUUGGUCGUCGACGAUAGGUAUGACCAGCGACUUUUUCUUGAGAGAGGGAGAAGAGGUCUAGAUGGGUGAGGAAGAGGGCAGAUAGUCGGGUUAGGGCUGAGAUUAAUGGAGAUUGAUUUUUUUUUUUUUUUUUUUUAUAGAGAUGGAGUUUUCUUCUUCUUUUUUCUUUUUUUUUUUCUAUUACUGCAAGUAACCCUGUUAUCAAUAUUUAGCAACACUAUUUUUUUUUACAAUGAUCAUCCGCAUUUGAGGCUGAUCCGACAAUAAAAAAAUCGGAAGCACAGAGGCUGCUAUACUUUGUUGUGCUUUUAAAAGCACAGUAGCUAAAAGUAUAGCGGUCUUCUUUCUCUCUCUAUAUAUAAACAUACUAUCAUUAGUAGACAAAAGUUGCAACUAUUGAAUUUUUGGCCAUUGGAUCCAUCCACAACAAAUUUAUUUAAAUAAUAAAAAUUCUAAUUUUUAAUUUAUAUUAAUUAAAUAAUUUAAUUUGUAAAAAUAAAUAUAAUUUUUAAACUUCUUGCAUUAAAAAAUCACUAGUUUUGUAAUUUUGCAAAAGUGGGCCACUGUUUAAUUUUUGUAGAUCUAGCCCGAAAUUUUUCAGAUGGCCAAAAUACUCCUAUAUUUUCUCAACUUGCUCUCUUUUUCCUCCCGCUUUCUCUUACCCCUCUUUUAACACCUUGAUGUCAUUAUCGUGCUCUUCCCGCUUCUCUUACCCCUCUUUUACCACCUUGAUGUCAUUAUCGUGCUCUUCUCCUACCUCGCGUACGAGGGAAUUGAAGAUGAUUAAGUUUGACUUGCUCGUGCUUUGGCCGUGACCAUUCUCGGCGUUCUCCAGCGAGGUCGUUGCGGUAAAGAUAAAGGUGGUGCUGCUAGUAGCAUUGCUGGAGAUGGAAACAGAGGUGGCGGAGGAGAAGGGAGGUUUAGAAGCGGGUUCGUGAGUGUGGUCGCGAUGGUAAAUUGAUGGUUGUAGUAAGGAAAAAAAAAUGGCAGACAUUGCACUAUUUAAAAAAAUUGCACUAUUCGAACAUAUGUUGCACUAUUUAGCAAAAAAUUUAUACUAUUUGAUAGGUAUAUUAAACAACAAAUAGUGUAAGUAUGGCAACAUCUUCGAACAGUGUAACUUUUUAAUGAAUAGUAUAAUUUUUUAGUAAAUAGGGCAAUAUUGUGUCGUCCGUCAUAUUUUUUUUUUCUUUCACUACCAGCACCACCUCAUCGCCAUUAGCUAUGCUUCCCGCGAACAUGCUACAGAAGCAUUCUCGACCCGCGAUAGUCACCCUCCUCCUCUGCUACCUUCGUUUUUGUUUCUGAUGAAGCACUGGGCGGCCAUGACAUGACGAGCAGGUCAAGUUCGCCGUGUGUUUUUCUUGCUUUUAAGUUGCUUAAGAUGCAGGCGCAACGGAGGAGGAGUUAGUGCGGGAGGCAGAGGAAGGAGAGAUCAGAUGCUUAAAGCACAAAAAUAUUUAAGUCAAUUUUUAAAAUUUUUGACAUGAAUAUGCAAAAAAAUGAAAAAUAGCCCACUUUUGAAAAAAAUACAAAAUUACUAGAUACUAGAGUAGGGACCCGUGUGAUGCGGCGGAUAAAAAUUCUUUAGCAAAAAUUUACAGAUUAAAUAAAUAAAUAAAAAUAUAAUGAAGAGACAGAAGGACAUAACCACGUUUGAUUGGAUUUAACAAGAUGAAAAACCCAGUAAAAGCUUUUAGAAUGAAAUCAACAAAAGAAAACAAAAAAAAAGAACUAUAGAUGAAAAAAAUUUAUUAUGUAGAUAUUCUAGAGAACUAUUUGAAAUAUUAUGACGGAAGGAUAACAAAUAAUAAAGAGCAAACCGAAGAGGCUUAAUUGAUAUUUAGCUAAUCAUAUAAAGAGAUUCAUCUAUCCUAUUAUCCUUUCUAACUUAAAUCAUAUUCCUUUUAAAAGACCAUGAUUAUUGCAUUUGCCUAUGGGCAUCAAGGUUGUUAUCACAGAAUUAGUACAAAAUGUAAAGAAAACUGAAGGAAAAGUAUGAAGGAAUAUACAUUAGUCAUGCAAAAAAAAUUUUAAGUAACAAUAGUUAGUUCCAACUACCGCUAAAUUAUGAAGGCCUAAUUUUAAUACAACUAUGAGCCAACAACUUAUAUGCCAUCUUUAGUCUGUUGAUGCAACAUGACAACUUAAUCAUUGUCUAUUACUAAGGGUAAUAAGUUUACUGUCACGCCCCGAGCUCCGCCUAUUUGGUCGGAUUCGGGCAUACCGACAGACUGCCGAACGGACAGAGCUUUUCCUGUACGUUCUAGGCGUCACAAUCUAUAUAAUGCCAUACAAGAGGUUCCAACCAGGAACAGUAUUCAAACACAGAUUGCAUAAGUAUCAAAAACAUAGAAGGCUACUAUGCUAUUACAAGCAUUCAUCUCAAAGAUCUUACAUUUACAAUAUUACAUAAGCCUUUAAGUUAUUACAACUUAUACAAUUUACUACAAGUUUGUUACUUUCAUUCUGAACUCUGAGCUAGACCACUUCAGGGUAUUGCUAUCUCGGUCUCAGUGGUAGGGCGCUAUCUACGGAGCUACGCCCUGUCCUCGCGCCGCUCACGUGUAAAUCUGUACCCCCAAAAACAACACGGGGGGUGAGAACUAUAUAAAUAUAGUUUCCAGUAGGUACGGCCACCCAAGGGAAGAGCUCGACCCACCAGGUCCAAAGGAGGCACUGUAACAUAUUAGUCCAACAAAUAUUCACAAAUAAUUUAUGCAGAUAAUAUUUACAUGUAUGCCUCAAGAUAUGCAGUAUGCAAAUUAUGCAACUAUAUAAAAGUAGAUCUACUGAUCCUAUUUUCUAUCUCACUAUCCAUAGCUCAUAUUACACUAGCUUCUAAGGUUUCAUCUACCUUAAUCAAGCUAUCCACCCGACUCGGCCUCGAGUCAAUCAUCUGCGGAGUACCGCGUCAAGUCAGGCUUGAGGUGAAGGACGUCUCACAGGCACCUCAGCCUUAAGUCCACGCGACAAUAGGUCCAAUGGAGAGGAGAACCGUCGAUCCCCGUGACCCUAAGUUGCUCAAGCUUAACGGGCGAGGAGAACCAUCAAACCCGUUGAGCUCAUAUCGGGAGAGGAGAACCGUCGAUCCCGUUGAAUCACUACCGGGCAAGGAGAACCGUCAAACCUGUAGUUCUGAUUCACUUGUUUCAUGACAUGCCGGGAGAGGAGAACCAUCGAUCCCGUUGAAUCACUACCGGGAGAGAAGAACCGUCGAUCACGUAGUUCUGAUUCUAUUUUUGCCAACAGCACCAUUCCUAGGGAUUCCGGAACCCACUUUCAAAACUUAAGGGUUUAACACUUACCCUAUGUUGACGACCUUCCUAGAUCUAUACCAUUCAUUUCCUAGUGGUCCUUCUACCACUAUAAUUCAUAACUUAGUUUAAAUACACUAAGUAUCACUAUACAUCAUAACCUAGGUUCAAUCACACUAGGUUCUAUGUUAUUUCACCUAGAUCUCGACUCUAGAUUUACUUAAUCAACCUAUGUUCAAUGACACUAGGUUCAUGUCCAACCUAUGUUUAAUAACACUAGGCUCAUGUCCAACCUAUGUUUAAUAACACUAGGUUCAUGCCACUCGAUCUAUGUAUCAUCCUAGUGAUCCACGCCUAGGAUUAUAGUUUACACGAUCUCAAUGUACAAUUGCCGAAUGCUCUAAGCAACUUAGAGUUAUAAUCAACUCAUAUGACUUUAGCAUAUUCAACAUUCACAUAUCAUCUAGCAUUAAUCACAAUGCGUCCAUAUGCAUAUUCCACUGGUAGGUAACAUUAACUAAUAUAACACGAUUCAUGCAUUCAUUUUAUCAUUCAUAACCUACCACUAUAUAUAUGCAUCAAUAGAAACCAUACUUUACUUUGGCAUGGAAGCGACCUAAUCGCUUCGGUGAAACACAACCCACCUUUAGUUUAUACCGGAAUGUAAGAAAUCUGUUUCCCGCACUUAAUGGACGACCGCAAUCCUUGCGCGCGACAACUUGAGCUAUAAUGAGAUUUUCCUCGCUAGCUUGCCGUCGGCUUGUCGGAACAUCGAUCCGAGCUUUCCAACGCGUCUACUUUACUCUAAAUUAGGUUUAUACACGACCAAUUCCCCGCUGGGACUUCAAUCCUACAAAAGCGCAUUAUCGAGGUUAGGUUCUAAUUAACCUAUUACUAUGCAAACCUUCUAUGCAGAUUUUUAAGUUUUCACUAGCUUAAAUGCCCAUAGGACUCCCAAUUAGCUUAUCUUUCUUACAAUUAACUGAACCUCACUCAAUGCAUAAUCAUAGUUACCUCAAUUUGUUGCUCAAUCCGCUCUAAUAAUAAGAACUUCAAUGCUGAAAUCUGCUCCACCAAUUUGCUCCUCACAGUGCACUACAAUUUCAGCAUAGGUAAAUCUAUCGCUUACUACUCUUUUAUAGCAGCCAAUAUCACUCAAUUCAAGAACAAACAUCAGCUUACCUUAAAUUUGAUGUUCUAUCAGGUUGUUCUUAGCUUUCUAAAGCUUUCUUUUCAGCUUGGUGCAUCAUAAUCUGCACUUGUUUCACUUUCUCCUUAACUAACUUUCUUCACAGCCCUUAUAUACUCAACCUGCCAACUCUAGCAGCCAAGCAUCCCUUUGUAGAUCAUCUCUAAGGCAAUUACUUUUAUUAUAAUUGGAUAUUAAACCUAGCUUACGUGGAUUUGAAGCUUCCCCAAGGGAUUUCUUAGCUCCAAAACUUUCCUUUCAGCUCCAACAGCAAAGAAGUCCACUCCAAAAUUCUACUCCUCCAACCUCUCCUUCACAGCCACCUUAAACUUUAUAAUCAACAAUAGAGUUGCUUACAACUCUCUUUGAAGCAAUUAAUUACCACUCAAACUAGGAAUAGUAUUAACCUUACCUGAAUUUGAGGCUCCACUAAGAAACUUCUCAGCUCCAAUCUCCUCUUCUCAGCUCAAGACACCAAGAAUUUCAGCUCCACACUAGUUUCCAUCAUUGAGCUCACCUAGGGUUUCAGAGAGAUAAAGAGAAAGAAAGAGAUGAGAAAAGGUUGUGGGAGAAGGUCCCUAAUACGUGGACAUGCUCAGGUCAGCAGGGGUGAAGUGAUAAGCUCAACAAACUGCUACUUAAUCCCUCAAAAUGCUGAAACUGCAUUGCAGUCCAGCAGUUCGCAAUUCAGUCCCUGCAGAUUCGCAAUUCAGUCCCUGCACUACACCUUAGCCUGGCAGCAGCAAAUUGAGGCCUUUUUGCGCGUCUAGUUCGCUUCGAACACGUCUAAUCACUUCCAAAUUAUACUCAUGAACCUUCACAAGCUGCCAAUUUAAUUUGGAAGCAAUUAAUUUUCAUAUUAGCAUUAUUGUGAUCAAUUUGAUCACAAUUAGCUACGUAGUUAAAAUUCGACAUUUUUUACAUCCAAGCAUCUCUGAAUUUUGCCAUUAACUAUCCUCGCACUUCCAAAAUAAUUCGGAGAUACUACAAUUAACAUUCAUAUCCCACUUUGAUCGCAUAGAUCAAAGUUAGCAUCAUAAUCCGAAAAUCCCUUUUUUACAUUUCAUUUCGCGCCCAAUUUGCGCCGAAACACUCAUUUAUCUCCGGAAUUCAUUCCCACACAUCCAAAUCACUCGGGAAUGAUAUACAUUUAAUCCAAACUUCUCUUUGAUCCUUUAGAUCAAAGUUAGCACCGCAACUCAAGGUUUCCAUAUAUUACAUUUGCACAAAGUGCAGUUAGCAAAAGCUAGAAAAGAUACUUGUUAUCAAAAGCCUAGCGUUAUCAAAACAAAUACUCAAAUUGGUCAAAAGUAGUAAAAAUAUAACCACAAAUUAAUUGCUUUUAAUAUUUGAAUGUAGUGAAGAUUAAAUCAUAAAUCAGAACCCACAAAAGAUCAAGAAAAUAGAGGUAAAAAUAAAUUGUAAAAAAUACUUGUUGUCAAAAGACUCAAGUGGUGAUCAAAACAUCACGUGACAAUAGUAGGCAAGGCUAAAAAACAACAGUAGCGAAAAAAAAAGUAACAUAGUUAAUUAUUCAACAAAGGUUUAGGAUGGAAUACCCAAAUUGAUAAAAAGCAAUAAAGCAACUGGGCAAUUAGAAGCCUAACAUCAAUGCAAGAAACAACCCAUCAGUGACAUCAAAGGUAGGGAAAAAAAUGUUCAAUAAUGCCAUAAAAAAGGAAAGCAUGCCAACUACACUACUAAAAGUUUAAAGGCACACGGAAAGUAAAAAACAAAUAUGUAGAGCUCAUAUAUAGAAAACCAAGUAUACAGAAAGAAGGUUAUGUAAAAAAUAUUGGUUUCUAAUAGCCCCUCCAACACUCGCCAUCAAGGCAUGCAUCACCACAAAGGCACAAACGGGUGGAGAAGAGCAUGCAACUAUAAAAAGCUAUGGAACAAUUAGCCAAUUGAGGUCUUAAUGCCUACAUAGUCCAAACCAUGGCUCAAAAUACACAUAUAAUCAAAAGCUUCUCUAACCAUCGUGGAGCUUAUCAUCGGUGAAACACUGAACAAUUACAAAUUUCACUCAAUUAAAUAAAGUAGUAAGAUAAACAUUAAUGUAUUUUUUUUCCCUUUUUUUUUAGCUGUUUACUACAAGGCAAAAGGUAGGAAAAAAAAAAAGCAUGAACAAAGCUAACUGCCCACUUUAAAACUAAAUGUUUCAAACACAACCUAGCAAAGAAAUUAUUAAAAGGCGAUAAUGUUGGAACAUUAACAUUCUUAAAAAAAAAAAAAACAAACUUGAUACAGGAAAAAUAAGCUAAUAGCUAUGGAGAAAUACAAAAGUUGCUAUAUAAAAGGUGCAUGAUAUAUAGUUAUAGGCUUCCCAGUCCCUUAUUUUCCCGGUCCCUUAUUUCUAUGACAACUAACUCUUCUUUUAUUUUUUAUGAACCACAAUCUAAGAUGAACACUUGACCGAAAAAGAAAUUUUAAAAAGCAAAAGUAAAUCUUAAAGUGAAACCAAAAACAAAAAUAGAAGAUCAUGCAAUAAAAAUAAUAUAAACAACAAAUUAAUGUAACUAUAUUGAAACAAGCAUAGAAACAUUGGGACUAAUUUGCAAUAUUGUAAUUGCACAGGGACUAUACAUACAUUUUACCUUGAUAAAAAAUGUUCAAGGAGAUAAUUGUUCAAUCCCAGUGAAUAGCUAUCAGAAAGAAUGUUAUGACAAUAUACAGAAGGGAUCGGGACUUAGGUGAUGCUUUCAAAUCAAAACCGAGUAUUGGAUACUCCAUUACCAUUGUGUGAGUUAAAAAUUUACAAGCGUUUGCGUUAGACGAGAGUAUUAUAUAUUGAAAAACAGAGAUUUAUUAAAGGUUCUAUACUCCUUAGAAAUCAUAAAGAUUUCUAAUUAAUUACGUCUAGACAACCUUCGAUUAAGCUGGUCAAUCAUGAUAAUUAGCAAAACAAAAUGCAUUUCUUUUAUUACUCUUGUACAUCGGUGUACAAAAUUAAUACAACUGAAAAAGAGGAAAAGCAACAAUUAUCAUCUCUCUACUUCUCUCCUCUUCAAGAUAUUUCUCCAAAACAAUGUCGGCCAUGCAUCAUGCAUAAGCUUUCUUUGAUAUUUCAUCGAGCAUUUGACAUGCACACAAGUAAUGUGCAAAUUGCCUUUGACAUUUCAACGAACACUUGGCACGCGUGAUAUGCACACCAUUUUUGGCAUUUCAUCGAACGCUUAGCACGCGUACAUGAACAACGCGCUAUGCACAAAUUCUUUUUGGCACUUUGUCUAACACUUGGCGUGUGCACAUAAAUUAUCCAUUACGCACAGCUUGUUUUUGACAAAAGCCAAUUCAAAAUAGCGGCAAUCAAUAAUUUGAUUGGGGCUUUCCGUCGACGGCUAAGCGUCGAACUAAUAGUCAUCGUCGUUGUCGUCGUCUACCGCUGACGGCUAAGCGUCAAGCGAAUGAUCAUCGUCGCCACCUUUACCGUCGACGGCGAAGCGUCAAGCGGAUCAUCGUCGUCGUUGUUGUUGCCUACCGCCGAUGGCUAAGCGUCAAGUGGAUCGUCGUCGUUGUUGUUGUCGCCCACCGCCGACGGCUAAGCGUCAAGCGGAUCGUCGUCGUCGUGGUUGUCGCCUACCGCCGACGGCUAAGCGUCGAGCGGAUCGUCGUCGUUGUUGUCGUCUACCGUCGACGGCUAAGCGUCAAGCGGAUCGUCGUCGAUGUGGUCGUUGUUGUCGCCUACCGCCGACAGCUAAGCGUCGAGCGGAUCGUCGUCGUCGUUGUUGUCGUCUACCGUCGACGGCUAAGCGUCAAGCGGAUGUUCAUCGUCAUCGUCGCCUUUACCACCGACGGCUAAGCGUCAAGCGGAUCGUCGUUGUCGUCAGCGCAGCAACAGCAGGUGGAUGACCACCUCCUUGGUCGAUGAUGACGCCACACUAGCAAAAGAAAACGUGCACCACUCCGGGAUAAACGACAACAGGGCAACGGCUGUCAGCAAAGGUGUCGGAAUGGUGAUGAGCAGUCGUCUUUUCUUGGUUGACGAUGACCCGGCAUAGUAGAGGUUGAUGACGGUAUGUAUAGCCCGGUGUGCAUAGAAAGCUCGAUGUAUGGAGUGCCUUGACUAGGAGAGAAGAGAAAAAAAAAAAAUGAAAGUGAGAGGAUCUAAACCCACCUUUCUAUUGGCUCUCUUUUUUUUUUUUAAUUCAAGUUUCUUUUCUCUUUUUUCUUUUAUGAGUAGAAUCCUCUCUUUUUUUUUUUUGUUCACUUCUCUUUAUAUAGAGAGAGGGUGGUGGAAAUCUAUAGUGUAGAGAAGAGUAAAUAAUGGAGGAGUGGAGGGAAUGGUGGAGUGAUGGAGAAGUGGGAGAAAAUGGUGGAGAAGUGGAGAAAAUGAUAGAGAAGUGGAGUGGUGUAGGGAAUGGUGGAGAAGUGUGGAGAAGUGGAGAAAAUGGUGGAGAAGUGGAGUGGUGGAGGGAAUGGUGGAGAAGUGUGGAGAAGUGGAGAAAAUGGUGGAAUGAUGGAGAAGUGGGACAAGUGGAGGGAAUGGUGGAGAAGUGUGGAGAAGUGGAGAAAAUGGUGGAGAAGUAGAGUGAGUGAUGGAGAAGUGGUAGGAAUGGUGAGAAAGUAGAGGGAAUGGUGGAGAGAGUGGUAGAAAUGGACGGAAUGGUAGGAGAUAGUGGAGGAGUGAAUUUAGGGAAGUGAUCUUUUCUUUUUUUGUUUUUUUUGUUUUUUUUUUUGUUAACAACCAUCAUUACUUGAUUCAUCUCGGUCAUCCUUUUUUUCUUUGAUUCUCUUGUUAAUCACACUAUAGGUUCCAUCCUCUACAUCAAGAAAGGCAAUCCUUGUUAAUAAGUAAUAACAGUAUAGAGCAUGGACUCCCAAAGUAGUAAUAAAGAAUUAAUAACUAAUCAACUUCUUGUUAAAGUAUAUGGCUAACUAUAAAAUGAUACCCCGAGGAAACAAUGGAGUAGUUACUAAUGUUAGCUAUUAAAAAAUCAAGUUAUGGUUUCAAGUAAGGAAUUCAAUGUAAACUUGGAAUGCUUGAAAUAUUGGAGACAUAAAAAUUUGAAAUGUUUAAUUGAAAGAUUUCAUGAAAAGACAAAAUAAGGAUCCAAAAUUAAAAUUCAAAAGAAAAAAAGGAUUGAAAAAGAACAGAAAAGAAUAUACUGAUUCGUUUUAAUAAUAAUAAAGAAUAUGCAAUAUACUCCACAAUUGUAAAAUUUAUUCAUGAAAAUUUUUUAUUUAUAUAUCCCUUCUAUGGUCAGUCAAAGUUUCUUAUGAGUAAUUUAUCUUCAUUACUCAAUUUGUUCUUUAUUUGAAUAUCUACAACCUAUUUUCAAAUUCAAACUCAACCUAAAUUUGAUAAACUUUAAAUCAAAAUCACCUAAAGAUAAAUCUCUUAUCUAUUAAACUUGAAAGAUCAAGCUUAAGUUCAGUUUAUUUGUUCUAAAGCUAGCUUAAGUACAAAUAAUCAUACUCGCGAAGAAACUCAGCUCAGAAAUGACUGAUAGGAAGAGAGGGAAAAACCUUAUAUCAUAUAACCAAUUUGCUUGUGUAAUUCACAUUAUUUUUUCUUCUUUUUAUUUUUAUGGCUUUUGGAUUGCCUUCACUACCAACAUUAUCUUCCUAUUUAAUGAAAUGUAUAAUGUAAAAAGUGAAAAUGACCAUAAAAGGUGAAUUUUCCGAAUUAAUUUAUGUAAGGCCUAGAUUAUGAAUCAUUGUCCAAACACAACCAUAUUUAUGCUUUAGAAUUUUGAAACAUGCUCUACUACUAUGAUGCUUUACAAAUGACAAUGCGCCAAAACUUAACAGAGGUGUGCAAGAAACAACAAUAAAUAGAAGUACAACCGCCAAAUGAUGCAAGAAAGCUGACAAUUUCAAUAGAAAGCCAAGAAAUGAUGUUGCAUGUAUUGAGAAUAAUUAGAAAUUGGAUGAUUGAAUUAAAAACUUGCAAGCAUGACUUAGAAUAGUUCACUCUAUAAAAUAUAGAGUAAGUUGGAUUAUACAAAUCUUUCAAUUUAUAUGGUGAUAAAUACUCAAUUUAAUAAAAACAAAAGUUAAGAAAAAGGGACGUACAGUUCAGGGGACCAAUGGUUUUUUUUUUUAUAUCUUAGAAUUAAUAAUUUCCAAGAGAAUAUAGUGCGAUUGUAGGUAUGUUAAUAUUUCUACUAAAAUAUUAGGCUCCAACCUAGAUUCCACGCAAGAGAAAUCAUAUCAAACUUCAAAACAGCAGGAAUGAAAUAAGGAUCAGAACUUUGCUCCCAUUUACCUUUUAUUCGAGGAGGUUUCUCACAAAAUCGAUCUCACCAUGCAUCGCCGUGCACAUCAAAGGGGUCUUUAUAAUGAAAAGAAAUAAAUCACGCAAAAAUCAGACAUACAUUUUAACUAUUUUCUUGUCUGUUUAUGCUGAUUUACGACAUCAGGAUGAAGCAGUCGAUCCAAAACCAUUAAUAGAACGUACAGAAAUCGUAAAAAUCUCAUGAGCACACUAAUAAAAAUCACAAAAAUAUCACCAAAGAGAGAGAAAAGCGAUUAAGCGAAGCCGACCUCGACGCGCCCGUUUGUGGCAGCGACGUAGAGUGCGGAGAGGCGGUCGUGGAUGGUGGUACGGUGAAGGAGAUCGGGAUAGACGUAGAGGGAGGAGCGAACAGUGUCGAAGAAGGAUGCUCAUCACUGGAUUGGCUAAAGCCCGAGCCCUGCUGCAGUGGUUUGGCUCUCUCAUUUCCCCCCCUACUCCGGCGACAGCUCCGGCAAGGUCUUAGGUAAUGGCUCCGUCAGGGACUUUGACGAUGGCUCCAGCAAGGACUCCGGUGGUGCCGCAGAGGGGGAGGAGAUGAGGGUGCAGAGGCGGAGGUGGAGGCGGAGUAUUAGAAUGGGAAGGGCGGUGAAAGCUUGGAAAUGUAGGGUCGUUUCGGUGAAGGGUGAAAUAAGGGUGAGGGUUACGAAGAGAUGGAAGUAGAAACGAUAAGUCUUUUUGCUGUAGGGUGGGUCCCACACCAAUAAGGCUAAAUUUAAGGAAAAUAUGACACGUGGACUUUUUAAUGGAGAUUAAUAUAAGUUUAUUUAUAGAAGAUUUAUAGAUUAUAGAUACGAAGAGAUGGAAAUACGAUAGUUUUAGGUGGGUCCACACUAAUAAGCUUAAUUUAAGCAAAUUAUGAACGUGGAAUUUCGUAAUGAGGGAUUAAUGUUAGUUUAUGAUUAUAGAUUUAUAGAUAGAUUUUUUUGCACAAAGGAUUGUUUGUAUUGUUUCAGUUUAUAAUAUUUUACGUUGCUCAAUUUGUUUGCAGUGCCAUCGCCUAGCCUUGGUUCGAAUAUUAAGCAAAAAAACAAAAAGAGGGGGGGGGAGACGAGUGGUUCGGCGGCGGUUUCGGACGUUGAGCACAUCAUGCAGGACGCGAAGGGCAAGCUAUUGGAACGGCUCCGGCGCCUCCUUCCCGCUGAUCGUCCUCCUCCUCUCCUCCUCCUCUCUUCCUUUCUAUGCUCAUCAUAAACCUGCACGGGGUGCCCCAAAUGGGACGGCUGCCAUGUCACCCUCGCCGCACCGCUGGGUCGCCACGCAGAGCGCGGCGCUAAAGUGCUCGGAUUCCGACGUAACCUCCUACUUUACCUUCCUUUUUUUCUAUAAUCUUUCGCGUGAAGUUAUUUAAUUUCUAGUUAGAGACUAUUGGUUCCACCAAUUGAUCUGGAUGGUACGGUUCUUGUGAGUUUGCCCUAAGAAAUUUUUUUUAAAAUUUUUUAUUUUUUCGUGUUGAUGGGUUAGGUUAUAUACCUGGUUUGAACUUGAUGCAAUUUGAAAGAAGUUUUGCUGAAUAUUUGUAUUCUGUAGCAAGGAAGAUAGGUAUUGGGUUUUAGGAUUUAGGUUAGGCCAUUACUCAUGUAGGUUUUUGUGUUCCGUACCUACUACACGAUGUCGCCAUUCAUUCUAGCAUUUUAUGCUUAGUUGUUCUACUAUCCAUAUGCCAGUAUACUCUCUGCAGUGGGCAUUUGGCAAAAAUUUGACUUGUAUCGCCUUAUUUAUUUUGCCGCGAGGUUAAUUAGCAAUGGAUCUUAUUAGCGGGUCACUACCACGUACCCUAGUUGAAAACUGUUGUUAACAUGAUCGUGUGAAACUUUGUGUUUUGGAACAUAUUGUUUACAUAGUGGUAUUUUGCAUCCCCCCCCCCCCCGCCCCCCCCCCCCCCCCCCCCCCCCCCCCCCCCCCCCCCCCCCCCCCCCCCCCCCCCCCCCCCCCCACCCCCCCUUUGUGCAUAAUCUUGGAGUUGUUGUAUUUCAUCUUGCAUUUUACGCAUUUCUUUUUUGAGUUUUGUUGCUAUUUCAUUUGUUAACCUUGGAUUUGUCUUGGCCAAUGGUAGACAUGCUUGAUAGGCAUCCUAAACAGGAUAUUACUAUUAAUGAUGCGCAAUUGUCUGCUUCGAAGUUUUUACUACUGUUGUCAGCAUUUAAUAUAAUAUGCUUUGAAUGCCUCUUAUCGUUGACCAAUGUGUACCGACUUGGUUUAGCUUUUUGAUCAAUUUCUUUUGUUGGAAAAGCUGAUCACGACUCGACAAUAUAGGUUUCAAAGGGACAUAAUAAAUUAAAAAAAAGUUCAUUGUGAUAUUUCAAACUAUUAGUAGCUAGUGUUUAAAGCUUAAUGUAGUAGACUAUUGAAUUAAGAUGGCAUUCGGGAGUCAUUUCAAACUAUUUAGUAAUAGUAGUUGGCAAAUAAGUUUGUCACUCUCGUUAUGAUAUUUCAAACUAUUUUCUGUUGAUUAAUCUCAGAGUGCCAAAGUCAUUUAGUACUAGUGUUUAAAGCUAAUGUAGUAGACUCUUAUUAGAUACUGUGACUCUCAUAUGUUCCUUCUUUAAGUUGUAUAUUUCCUAUCAACUCUUGUACACAUUGUGUGUUUAAUUAUAUCGCUGCAUAGUCAAAAAUUUCUGCAGAAUUAUUGAUCAAAGGGGUAUAUAUCAGGGCUUGGAAUUUUAAUCAGGAUAAAUAUGCAUGUAGACAUAUUUGAUGCAACUGGUGGAGCAAAAUUGUACUAGUCUGGUUUUGUGGAUUAAUUGCUUUUGUUUCCUUGUCCCUAAAAUGAAUAAAUACGCUUUAUAUCUUAAGCAUUUCGCAUUGUGAAUUUGUUUCUCUCCAUCUCUCUUAGAAGACUAUUAGUAUUGGGAGCCACCAUCUUAAUUGCUACUAAACGAAAUGGAGAUGCAUGUAUUAAUUAUUUUUUGAGUAUGAUAAUCUGUCACUUAAAUAAUGUCUUGCUCUUGUCAAAUAAUGCUUUUUUUUAAGAUGAAAUGAUUAUCUAAUACUAGAAAAAUUUAUUUGUUUAGGUUCAGACGCAUCUAGCGCUCGUAUAUAUUCAUCCACAACCUCUUGCCCUUCAGGUAAAAUUAAACUUAUAUUAAUUAGUUUUUGUUAAAGAUGUUUGACUAAUCUUUUAUUAACUUCAGUAUUGUUUAUUUGUAGGUUCAACAUCUUAAUUGCCGAGCUUAUUAUGACUGGAUCUGAUAUGAUAUUAUUAGCCUUUUGUUUCAUUUCUUUCUUCUGGUUGAAAAGCUAGAAAUUAUUAGUACUGUGAUUUAGUGACUAAAAUACUCGUUUAAAGAUAUUGCGAUAAUACCUUGAGACAUUUUGGUAUUAAUUAGUGUAUCUACAAAACUUCUUUUAUAUGCUUUUUUGUUAUGUAAAUCAAGACGAAUAAAAUAAAGAUAUGCUUAAUGAUAAUCAUCGUAUGCAGUGAUAUUUAUUUUAAAAGUGUGAUGCAUCAGAAAAAUUUGGAUAUUUAGAAAAUGGACAGUUAUAAAGUGUCGCUGAAUUACAAAAGUGUGCUAGAUAUUAUUUGCAUUACUUUUAUGUGCUGCUAUAAAACUUAAAUAAGUGUCGGUAUAAUUAGUAGACAUUUUUUUAGGUUAUUACGACAUCUUAAAAAGUGUCACUAUACACCUAGCGACGCCACAUAUAGCAACACUUUUAAAAAAGUGUCGGUAAUUAGCCAGCAGCAUUUUUUUGAUCUAUACCGACAAUUUAAAAGUGUCGCUAAUAUACCGUUUUGUUGUAGUGAGGGUGAAAUAAGGGUGAGGGUUACGAGAGAUGGAAGUAGAACGAUAAGUUCUUUUGCUGUAGGUGGUCCCACAUAAUAGGCUAAUGUUAAGGAAAAUAUGACACGUGGACUUUUUAAUGGAGAUUAAUAUAGUAUUAUAGAAGAUUAUAGAUUAUAGAUACGAAGAGAUGAAGUAGAACGAUAAGUCUUAUGGUGGUCCACACUAAUAAAGCUGAAUUAGAAAAACAUGACACGUGGACUUUCUAAUAGGAUUAAUAUAAGUUUAUAGAUUAUAGAUUAAAGAUAGAUUUUUUGCAAAAAGGCUUUUUAUUUUUUCAUUAUAAUAUUUUAGUGCUCAAAUUUGUUGCAGGUGCGUCGCUAGUUGGGUUCGAAUAUAAGUCAAAAAAAAAAAAGGGGGUGGGGGGUGAAACAGUGGUCGCCGGCCGGGUUUCGGACGCUUGACACAUCAAUGCAGACCGCGAAGAGGCAGCUAUUGGAAACGUGCGGCGCUCCUUCCCGCUAUCGUCCUCCUCCUCACUCUUCUCCGUCCUUCUCCUUUCUCUCAGCAUCCAUCCAUAACCUAGCACGAGGUCCCCAAUGGGACGCUGCACGUGCACCUCUCGCUGCACCCUGUCACGCCACGCCAGAGAGCCGCGCGGCUAAAGUGCUCGCGUUCCGACGUAACCCCUCCCACUUUACCUUCUUUUUUCUAAAUCUUUCGCUCGAACCGUUUAUUUAAUUUCUAGUUAGAGAGUAAUGGUUCACACAAUUUGUCGUGGAUGUACGGAUUCUGUGAUCUGCUAAAAAAUUUUUUUUUAAAUUUUUUUUAUUUUUUGCAUCGGUUUGUCGUGUUAAGUUGUAUAGCUUAUUGAACUUGAAUGACAUUGAAAGAGAAGUUUUGCUGAAUAUUUGUAUUCUGUAAGCUAAUGGAUAAAGGUAUUGGUUUAGGUUUAGGGUUAGGCCCUUACUAACGUAAGGUUUUUUGUGUUCCUACCUACUAAACACAUAGUACGGCCCUUCUCUCUAGCUAUUUUAUGCGUUGUUCUACCUAAAUUCCAUAGCAGUAUCUCUUGCAGGUGGCAUUGGCAAAAUUAGAACUUGUAUCGCUAUAUUUAUUUUGCAUGCGAAGUUAAUUAGCAGAUGUCUAUAGGUCACUACACGUACCCUGUGGUUGAAAACUUUGUUAUAAAUGAUCAGUGUGAAACUUUGUGUAUUUAAACAUAUGUUACAUAGUGUAUUUGACAUUGUGACUUCAUCUUGGAAUGUUUAGGUGAGACUUGGAAAUGUAUACAAUGAAAGUUUGCUCUUAUCUCCUUCGUUUUUGAUGUUCCUCAAGGAUUUUGGUUGUGAAUUGCUUACUGCAAUCAUCAAUGCGGGCGUGAACCAUAUCAAUGAAAGGACGUAGUAUAAGUAUCAAUACAUAAGCAUUGGUGUAAGUGUUUGUCCAUAUGGUAUAUUAUUUAUAAUUAGCGAGGUGCCCAUUAAGCCUUGUUCCGCAUUUAAUGCUGCUUAUGUUGUAAGAAAAUUUUUCUGUGUUAGGUACUUAAAGCGCAACAUACGCAGCAUGGAAGAGGAGGGGCGACAAUUCAGGUAAAAGAUAGGAAGAUUUUCUAUUCUUUUCGCUUGCUAUAACCUUUGAAAAGUUGCGAAACAAUAUAGUUUCCUGUUCGGUGAAUAUUUUAGAUGAACUAGUAAUUUUGUGAUAUUGCUCAACUCCAUUAUUUCCGCUAAUCAGGGAGGUCCUUACAGUUCAAACAGGCUUUAAUAGAUUUCACAAGAACAUUGCAAAUGGUAGUGUAUUAUAAUUGUCUCUCACGCACUGCGCUUGUAUGAAAAACCAGUAUUCUUGAUGGCAAAUACUAAUCUGAGAAGACUAAUUGUCUCUGGAGAUUGGCACAUUAGCUAGUUUCGAUCUAAAGCUACAUGCCUUUGUAAGUUUGUUAAUGAGUUGCUUAUAAGACUUGAAAUAAAACAAGCUUGAGCUACAUAUUACUAGAAUGCAGUUACAAAUAUCAAUAUCCUAAUAACAUCCAGUUUGUAGAAUUGGUCAUUUAUCAUUUUGAGAAAGUUCGGCGAACAUGUUUAUCUAUUUUUUCAUCACGGUGUUGCAUUCUACCAUUUAGCAUUAAUUUACUCUCUUUUAAUUCUAGCAUUUUUUAGUUUUUGUUUUUUAUGGUUUUAUUUUAUGUUGUUUAAAUUGCUGAUUAGCAUGUUAAAGUAAUUCUUUAAUAAGAGAUCUUUUUUUUAGAUGAGCAUGUUAAAAUAAUUCAUUGAGAUCUUCUUUUUAUCUCAAAAGUAGAGAGUGUUGUAACCAAGGAACACAGUGCCGCCCCGUGCCGUGCGGCACGGGGCGUGCCGUGCCGUGCCCCUAAGAAGGAGGCACGGCACAGGGGGGGUCUCGGACCCCACCCAUGUGCCUCGGCACAUGCCCCGUGCCGCUCGAGACAAAGCGGCACGGGUGCAUGUGCCGCGGCACAGUGCCGCCCCCGUGCCACCUUUUUUUUUUAUUUUUUUUUGGCUUUUGUUUUUUUUUUUGCUUUUGCUUUUGCUUUUUUUUUUUUCUCUUUGGAUCUAUUUUUGCUGUGGGCAUCAAUCGCAUCCCUCAUAUCGACAUGGUCUAUAUGGAGAGAUAUUUGAUUAUGAUUCAUCAAUUUAUGGCACUCAGAGUGAAUCCCAAUCCAUCCCUGGACAUAGUGAAAGCUCAUACGGCGAAUCUACAUCCACUCAUGCAUAUCCACAUUAUGGUUCUUCUUUUCCAUACAAUCCAUAAUCCUUAUGAUGCUUCAGUUUAUAUGCCGCAGAUGACUGUUUCCAUUAAUCCACGAUCCAGUUGCAUAUGCAUAUUAUUCUCCACAUACAAUGACCUAUAUCGGGAAUAUAUGACUUUCUCACAAUACCAGCAAACUUAUAUCAACAUUGUCAUAUAAAUCUUGUAUCUGCAACUGACAGUAUGCCAUAAUGACAUUAAGGCGACAAUCUAUGUGGAAUUAAGCAGUCAUUUCUAUGUAAAGAUGUAUAUUUAAAUAAUUAUUAUACUUGGAAUUUUAUUAUUGUAUUUUAAUUUUUAUCUACAUCAGGUAUAAUUGUAUUUCACUUACAAAAAGCUUACAUGCAGUGGUAAUUGAUGAUAUAAUAAGGUAUAUAUACAAAUAUAAAUAAUUAUUAUUAAAUCUUUCAAAAUAAUAUUAUAAGAGUUUAUUGGAAUAAAAAAUCUGAAAAAAAUCCGUGCCAAAGCGUGCCAGUAGGAGGUCGUGCGUAUCUGUCGGCACGCAAGCGUGCCCGUGCCGUACCGUGCCAGGGCUGUAACUGCACGCACCCCGUGCACACGGCACUUUAAACCUUGCUUGUAACUAUGGUUGUCAAGUUUUGGUCUUCUGGUCAUAUGAGAGCUUAGUUAUCAAUGAUUUUUUUUUUCAUACAAGAUUUAAAUGCCAUGCUUUUGUAGGGCAUUAUGUGUUCUGGCUGUUAAUGCUUGCCCUGUGUAGCCAAGUUGAAACGGACUCAAUGCAUCGAAACAGUCUUUAAAUUUUUAUGAUAAUGGUGCGAAAUGGCAUACAUCGUCCCCUAUGAUCCAUGGACACCUGAACUGGUGGCAUCUUGAUUACUUAGUGGCUUUUUUUGCACUUUGGGAAGUAAACUUACUCAAUGUAGAGCAAAGUAUAUGGAACGUCGAGAUCUCACAAGCAAUCAGCAAGGUGUAGCAGUUCAUUGAAUGUCAAUGCCGAGGCGCGGUUUAAGAAGCUUGUGUAUAAUAACUACAACUUUAGAAUCAGAGUUGCGGAAAAUCGUGCCUUUUUUUUUUUUUUUUUUGAAAACUGCCUGGCCAUGUGACACACAGACUCGCCACAAAUACAAAGAUCCUCUGUCCACAUGGAUAGAGUUUCCCUUAUAUUUGCAAGGCGUACCAUCUUAUACAACAAGACACAGGAUCACAAUUACAAUCCACUUUCAUAACUAUUCAUAGAUAUUCAUUCACAUCCUUAUAUAUUUGAAGAACAAUUCCAUAACAACCUAUUAGUUGAAAGCUCUCCCAACUCGGAAGCUUUAUUUUCAAAUACUAGGUAAACUUCAAUUGAAAAUCUCAAAAUCCAUUUUGAAAACUGUUUCUCACACGGAAACGAUGCAUUUUAAAAACAACUACCAUAAGGGGUAGAAAACCGAACAACGAGGUACGAAAAACCAAAUGCCGCAAGUACAGAAAACUCCGAGUACACGAGUAAGCGAAAACCAAAACCACAUUGGUCCAAAUCCAUUAUUCAAGUACCAUCUAAUUGAACCAUUUAUUAUAGGGCUUUUUUUGCAAAUAGCCCCCUCACAAAUUUUUUUUUUUAAAAUAGCCCUGUCCAAAAUUUAUUUGCAAAAAUGGCCCUGGCCCUGCCACGCAAGCGCCACGUCAGCGCCACGCGGGCGGGGCUGGGGCCAAGUGUUUAAGUUGAACACGGUGAACCAUUCACCGUGUUCAAACACGGUGAAUGGUUCACCACAAGGAUGAAGGUGCCGCCCCGUGCCGUACGGCACUAGGUGUGCCGUACCGUGCCCCCAAGAAAGGGCAAUGGUAUAGGGGGGGUCUCGGACCCCCCCGGGUGCCGCGGCACAAGCCGCGUGCCGCUCGAGACAAAGCGGCACGAGGCCAUGUGCCGCGGCACUGUGCCGCGUGCCGCCCUAUUUUUUAUUUAUUUGUUUUUUUGGUUUUUUGCCUUUUUUUUUGGUUUUUUCUCUUUUUUUUUUUGUUCUUUGGGAUACAGAGCCUUCGCCCGGCCAUCUAUAUUGCCUUUUUUUCACUUUUCUUUUAUUUUUUUGACAUUGUGUUGUUUUUUUGUCAACUUUUUUUUUCUUUUUGGCUGAUGCCUUUUUUUUUUGUCUUUUGGGUUUUUCUUUUGACUUUUUCUUUUUUCUUUUGUUAAAUUAAAAAUUUAUAAUUUAACUUCUUAUUUAUCAAUAUAAAAGCAAAUUUUUAGUUGACAAAUCAGAUCCAUACCGCGGGGGCGAAGCCCCCCGCACCCCCGUCGGAUGUCAGUAGUGGGCUACGGGCUCGGGCCUGUCGGCCCGAGCCCUCCGCUUCCACGACAGACAUCCAUUUUUUCUUCGCAAAUUAUUUUGUUAAAAUUUAUCGCACCGCGAAGUUUUCGAUGAAUUAGGGGAACAAAAAUCGAUCUCCUAAACAAAUUUUGAUCAGAUAUUUUUUAAAAGAAUAAAAAAAAUGGAUGUAAUUGCGGUACUAUUCUUGUUCACUACAACAAAAACGGUCUAUAGCGACACUUUUAAAUGUAGGUACAUGUCAAAAAAGUGCUGCUAGCUAAAAUUACCGACACUUUUAAAAAGUGUUGCUAUAUGUGGGGUCGCUAGGUAUAUAGUGACAGUUAAAGAGUGUCGCUAUAACCUAAAAAAGUGCUGCUAAUUUACCAAUACUUAUUUAAGCAUUUAGCAACCGCCGAAACUCUAUCUCGUUGGCUGCGGUGGCGGAGGAGAACGACAGGAAAGGCUCUUCGUCUAGAAUUUCAGUGGAUUGAGUGAAGAGAGAAGAAAAGAUGGUAAUUGAUUUUUCUUUUUUUUUUUCUUUUCUGUUUGUAAUCGGAUCAAAUGGACUGGGUGUGGUGCGUUGAGUAGAGUAAUCUUUUAUUUUUGGUUGUAUUGGGCUUUAUAUUCAGGCAUUAGUAGAUGUUUUUUAAGUUUUAGCAUAAAUGGAACACUUAUUCAAAAGUGUCCCAAACAUGUGUCCCUAUAACCUAAUUCUGUUGUAGUGGUUGUUCUAGUUAUUAUAUACUUCCUAAUCGAAUCAAUAUAUAGAUUUUGAAACGUUUUUAGAAAAAAAUAAAAUUUUUUAUCAUUUUAUCUGUUAUAAUUUUUUAAAUUCUAAAAAAAUUUAAAACAAAAGAAUUUUCAAAUGUUACAGCAAGUAUAGUUGUAUUUUUCAAAUAAAAAAAAAUAAAAACAAAAGAAUUUUAAUUUCUAUUCUACAUCAGGUAUAGUUGUACUUUAUAUACAAAAUGCUUACAUGCAUGUUAAUUGAUGAGUAUAAUAAGUUAUACAUAGCAAAAAUUAAUAAUAAUUUGUCCAAAUCUUUCAAAAUAACAUUAUAAAAGCUUAUUGAAUCAAAAAAACUUAAAUAAAUCCGUGCCAAAGCGUGCCAGUAGGAGGUCGUGCGUAUCUAUCGGCACGCAAACGUGCUACGUGUCGGCACGCAAGCGUGCCCAUGCCGUACCGUGCCAAGGACGUAACGGCAUGCCCCCGUGCCACGGCACUUUAAACCUUGGUUCACCGUGUCCAAUGUAUCAUACACGCUCAAGUCUGGAUGUCUAUAAUACAAAGGACACGGUGAAUGGUUCACCGUGUCCAAUACGCGGUAAACUGUUUAUCGCAUUUAGACACGGUGAACCAUUCAUCGUGUCCUAUAUUAAUACCCCAACUAAGUCUGGGGUAUUUGUAUUGGACACGGUGAAUGGUUCACCGUGUCCAGACACGGUGAACCAUUCACCGUGUUCUUUUUGAACACACCCCCCGAGCUGUCUUCCUCUUCCCCCCAACUCUCUCUCUCGAUCUCUCUCUCUCUCUCUCUUUCUUGCUCUCUUUCUCUUGCUCUCUCUCUCUGGCCGACGCCGACGCCGACGCCGACGCCGCCACUGCCCUUUGUUGCCUGAGGUAGCUCCCAUACUCCAACUAAGUCUGGGGUAUUUGUAUUGGACAAGGUGAAUGGUUCACCGUGUCUGGACACGGUGAACCAUUCACCGUGUUCUUUUUUAAUACACCCCCCGAGCUGUCUUCCUCUUCCCCUCAACUCUCUCUCUCGAUCUCUCUCUCUCUCUCUCUCUCUCUCUCUCUCUCUCUCUGGCUCUCUUCCUCUUGCUCUUUCACUCUGGCUGACGCCACCGCCGCCCUUCGCCGCCGCCGCCCUUUGUUGCCCGAGGUAGCUCCCCACCCUCAUUCUCUCUCUAGCCCUAGAAACACCCCCCCAUCCUCCCACCUCUCUCUCUCUCUCUCUCUCUCUCUCUGUGUGGCCCAUCCCGCCACCGCCGGCGAUGCCGGCGCCGCCCUCACCCGUCCGAGAGCACCCCCCCACCCGGCUUCUCACUCUAACCGCUCUCUCUUCCUCUCAUUCUCACUGUGCCCCACUCCCCCCCCUCACAGUGGCUUCUCUCUGUGAGAAGCCUCUGUGAGUCUCACAGAGGCUUCUCACAGUGAGAACCCUUUGUGAGGCCUCUCACUGUGCAAACCCCCCUCACAGAGUCCUCUCACUGAUUGUUCUCGGUGUCUUUGUCACGGGUCAAUCCUUAGCUCUUAAUUGGCAAAGUAGUCGCGCCGACCGUGCUUGUACAAUGGUAAUAGUAUCUCUUACCUUCUCUUUUGUUGUAUGUUAGAAAUGUGGUAUGUCUUGAGUUUAAUAUUUUUGUACAUUUUAUUAUAUUACUUUAGAACUCUAUGUCUGGCGAUUGUGUUCCUUUCUAUAUCCAUUGGGAUGGAAAUUUUGUCGAGAACAAUAAUGUACCACGAUAUAUUGGCGGCCGUAAAGAAUUGGUUGCGGUCCGACGCAAUAUCUCAUUUCGGGAUUUAGAGAUGGAAAUAUACAAUGUUACUAAUUAUGAUCGAGUGGAAGACCGUCUACGCAUCACGGUGAAAUGUCCAAUGGGAGGCGAAUGGGAAUUAGUUAACGUAUCAAAUGACAAUACACUAUCUGGCGUGAUGAGUAUUUUUCCGUUCCAUGGAUGUAUAAAAUUAUUUGUGGAGAAAGAUGUGUCGAUGACACACGACCGUCCAAAUACCGUUUAUCGAACGGAAAUGCGUCGUAGUCGCAAUGUUCAAAGGAAUUACGUCAAUCGCGAACGAGUUCGCACAUUAAGGUAUAAAGUAAUGAUCUUUAUAAAUCUUUUUCGUGAUUUCUCAAUUAGUUUAGGUGCGCGAAAUUAAUAACUUUGUCUUGUAAGUGUUACAGAAAGUUUGGAGUCCCAUCUCUGCCAGUUAGUGCAGCAUUGCCAUCUGCUAUGAUGGAUCCGUCUCCGUUGGUUGAUCAAAAUGAGUGGUAGGUGAUUGUAUGAUUUAGUUACAUGAAAAACCAAUGUGAAUAGUUAAUCUUAUAUAUCUCUACAGGUCUACUGUCCCUCCUUAUCAAAGUGAAGGUCCAUCAUCUUAUGUUCAUGAAUGGACGGAUUGGGAAGUCAGAACCACUAUCCCUCCUUAUCAAAAUGAAGUUCCAUCAUCUAGUGUUCAUGAAUGACCGGCUUGAGAAGUAAGAAAUACUAUCCCUCUUUAUCUAGAUGCAAGUCCAGGACUAUUUAGUGUUAAUGAAUGGCCGACUUGGGAAGUAAGAAAUACUAUCCCUUCUUAUCAAAAUGAAGGUCCAUCAUCUUGUGUUCAUGAAUGGCCGGCUUGGGAAGUAAGAAAUACUAUCCUUCCUUAUCAAAAUGAAGGUCCAUCAUCUACUCAUCGUGAAUGGACCAAUCGGGACGUGACUACAACUGAUAAUGAGGAUGUAAUUCGAAAUGAUGAGGAGUUUGUUAGUGAAACUGAUGAAGAGGAUCAAGGGCGAAUUGAUGCUGAUUCUAGUGAUGACCAGGAAUUCUGUUCCCUGUUCUUUGGAUCCUAAUCAUGACGGUGGCUUAAAUUCACUCGCAUGCGCCAUUCGAGAUGAAAGUGUUGAAUGGAUUGAUAACUCAAAUGUCAACAACGAAGAUGUACCGGAUCGGGUGGAAUUCGAGGAAUGUGAAGAUCAACGACAACGGUUUCGUCUGGGUAAUGAAAUAAUUAAUCAAAGCGUUGUUGAUGCAUAUAAUGAACAAAAUAUUGAUCAGGGUCCUCCAAGUGAUGAAGCAUGGGCUAAUCGGACUUUUUCUGAUAAAUCAUCUCUAGUGAACGCUUUGGAUACUUGGCACAUUGCACAUAAUGUGCAACUUAAAGUUGUUAAGUCAAAUACAACUAGAUAUACUGUGAAAUGUGUGGUCGAUUCUUGCCCAUGAAGAUUACAUGCCGCUCAGCCGAAAGGUAGUUCAUUUUUUAAAGUAAAGACUUAUAAAGGUCCGCACACUUGUUUGGUUCCAAUUCUGAAUACAAGACAUCGAAACUGUACAUCAUCUUUCAUAUGUCAAUUUAUACUACCUAUACUGAAGGCAAGGCUUACAAUGAGAUCUAUGAAAAUUCAAGCUCGAGUUCAGAGCGAGUUACACGUUAGCAUAUCAUAUAGCAAGGCUUGGCGGGCACAUAAUAAAGCAUUACAAAUUAUAUACGGUAGUUGAGAGCAAUCAUACAGCGACCUUCCUCGAUACUUCUCUAUGUUGGAAUCAACAAAUCCAAGAACUAUUACAAAGAUUGAUUAUAUUAGUAUGGCGAGCAAUACGAGAAUGUUUUCAUGAGCCUUUUGGGCUUUUGGAUCGUCGAUUCAUGGUUGGGAGUAUUGCCGGCCAUUAUUUAGUAUCGAUGCUACCCAUUUGUAUGGAAAAUAUGAAUGCCACGCAUUAAUUGCCACAAGUGUCGAUGCCAAUGGUGGUUUAUUUCCGCUAGCUUUUGCAAUUUGUGAGGGGGAGAAUGGCUCGAAUUGGGAGUGGUUUUUAAGUUGCCUAAGAAGGUAUAUAACAAGAUCUCGAGUUAUUAUACUAAUUUCAGAUCGUUUUAAAGGCCUAGCGAACCUCGUUGCACUUGUAUUCCCACCAACUGAAGAUCAUGCUCAUCGAUGGUGUUUGCGACAUAUGAAGGCCAAUAUGAAUAUUCAUUUCAAAGCAAAACACUUAUUUAAAAUAUUUUAUCGAAUUAGGAAUGCUUCAGAAGAACGACAAUAUUACGCAUUAAAGGAAGAAUUGAAGGCUAUGGAUGAAGAAGCUUGGCUUUGGGUUGACAAUCUUCAUAACGAUAGGACAUACUGGGCUAAAGUUUUUUAUGGUGGUCGACGAUUUGGUAUUAUGACAACUAACCGAUCGGGAAGUUUAAAUGGGGUGUUGAGGGGAGUUCGCGCCUUACCAAUUACAGCUUUUGUGAUGGCAACGUUUCAUCGAGUGGUUGAAUUUUUUCUAAAACAUCGGGCGGAGGGCGCUGCAAUGUCUACGCAAUUUGUAUCGACCGUUGAAAACACCAUCAAUAGCCGGAUGAGAAUUGCCUGAGCAUAUACAGUUCGACGAUUUGGAUUUCACGAAUUCGAAAUACUUACUGGCGGUGAUGAUCGAUACCAAGUGAUUAUCAAUAGAAGCAGUUCUACAUGUUCAUGUUUGUGUUUGCAACUCACAGGAAUUCUUUGUUCACAUAUUUUGUCAUGUUGUAGUUCUUCACACAUGAACAUAGAUUAUUAUGGCUUAUGUUCUCCUUGGUAUACUGUCAUAUCCUAUUGUAAGGCUUAUGAACCGCAGUUCCACCCGGUUCUUGAUCGUCGUUAUUGGAUCGCGUUAUAUGAAUCCCCUAUACUUCUACCGCGCGGGAGAAGGAAAAAGGGACGACCCAGAUCUACGCGUAUCCGUAAUAUUAUGGACGAAGCCGCUGGGAAUAGGAGGGGCAAGUGUAGUAUCUGUAAACAGCUUGGACAUUAUAAAAGCACUUGUCCUGAAAAUCAGUAAAGAAGGACCGAGAGACGUUGUCGAUAGAUUUUUCUAUAUGAAAAUGACACUUAACGUCUUUAAUAUUUUAUGCUUACGCACUAAUAUUACAUCAUGUUGUUUCUAACUCAGAUUUAUUUUGCCAAUUGCAAAUGGACGAUCAUGACGAGCCGGGACCUAUUGAUACAUCCGUGCUGACUGAGCAGCCACGGCAUAGAUCUACUUUGAUCAGAGAGGAGGUGAAUUUUUUUUUAAACAUUUCUAAUUUACGUAGAUGUUCUUUAAUUUAUGUACUAAUUUUGAGCUGAUAUUCACAAUCAUGCAGGGUUAUUUUCCUGUUCAAUUUACGGAGCAUGGCCGUAAAAAGAACAUAUGGCAGUGCGAGCAUCCUGCGAUGUUGGACUUACUGCGACGAGCAGGAUUUUAUUACGUUUCACGAUUGCGCCGCCUACAGCUCGAUCAGUCGUUAUUGGGAGCAUUAGUCGAGAUGUGGCGGCGGAAGACGCAGAGUUUCCAUUUGCGACACGGAGAGAUGAGUAUUACAUUGAUGGACGUCGCAGUUAUUACGGGACUCUGCGUCGAUGGUGGGGUUGUGACUGGAGGGGGAUCCUAUCAGUGGGCAGAGCUCUACGGAUUACUUCUCGCGGUGGUUCUGCAGGAUAUUAGGGGUAGUGAGAUCAAGAUCGACUGGUUAUAUCAGCAUUUCCAUGAUAUCCCCUUAGAUGCACCUCCCGCUAUUGUUCGAGCUACAGCGAGAGUAUAUAUUCUAUUUGAGAUAGAAUGUAGUUUAUUUCCAAAUCCAAGCGGGAAUAGGGUGCAUUUGAAAUGGUUGCCACAUCUAGAGGAUUUUGACCUUUGUGGUGAGUUGGCAUGGGGUGCAGCCGCGCUAGCUCAUCUUUAUCGCGCCCUAGGAAAUGCUUGCAUCAGGGGGAAGGUCGAGUGUUGUUGUUUUGGGACAUUAGUUCAGGUACAAUUUGCGACACGGACCCUUACAAUACUUCUAUUUAAGUCAUGGUUUUUGUUUCCAUUUCUAACAAGAAUGUUUUAUUUGUAUAGAUCUGGGCAUGGGACCACCUGCACAUUGGCCGCCCUGAGUUAGUAGGAGCGCAGCCUGAGCUUGUCGACAUGCCACUAGGGUGUCGGUAAGUAUUUUUUCAUUUUAAGUUUUCUAUAUACUAUUUAUUCAUAACUAAUAUGAUAUAAAUGAAUCAGGUGGAAUACCAGGCUGGCUUUUCGGGACAAUGUCAGGACUACUGACAUUGAGUUUUAUCGUGAUCAGCUGGAUAAGCAGUUAGAGUCUCAGGUAAAUAAAAGUUACUCAAUCUGUCGAAUUUUGUAUUCAAUGCUAAUCUACUUCUUUUUUGGAUUGAAAUUUUGUUUUAGUUUGAAUUCUAGGAGGUCAGUAUAGUAGUUUAAGGAACAAACAAAGAGGCAACUAAUCCAAAAACUGUAGGAAGAUAUGGUUUUGACGUGAUAUGGAGCUAGUUCAAAAACUGCAUCAAGUCAACAAAAUAUGGUUUCAUGAUUAAGUGAUUUGACGUGUAUGCAACUAAUUCAAGUACUUGAGUAAUAAAGAAAUCGAAAUUCGAUUAUCAUUCCAUUUUGAAGCCGAAAACGUCCUUUUGGCCAUAUCUUCGCGUAGGCUCGACGGAUUGCCGAACCGACUUCACCAACGUGUUCGCUUUACCCUCAAUUAGGUUUGUACGCGAGCAAUUUCAAGUUAAGGUCUCAAUCCUGCAAAAGUGCAUUAUCGAGCUUAGUGAAUACACUUUACUAGUUUCAACUUCCAACUAGUUUCAACUAUUUAUGAUAACAUAGUUUCAACUUCCAACUAGUUUCAACUUCGAACUGUAUAUUAACUAGUUUCAACUUCCAACUGCCAACUGCCAACUAGUUUCAACUAGUUUCAACUUCCAACUAGUUUCAACUAUUUAUGAUUACAUAGUUUCAACUUCCAACUAAUUUCAAGUUCCAACUGCUUAUUAACUAGUUUCAACUUCCAACUGCCAAAGCCAAUAUACUAUAUAUAUAUAUAUAGCUUUUCUAGGUUUCAUAACAAACAUGGCUUAAUAAUCAAGAAACCCAUGUCAAAUCCCUCUUAGCAUCAAUACCAUCAUCCUUAACAAAAGAACAGUGUAUAANNNNNNNNNNNNNNNNNNNNNNNNNNNNNNNNNNNNNNNNNNNNNNNNNNNNNNNNNNNNNNNNNNNNNNNNNNNNNNNNNNNNNNNNNNNNNNNNNNNNUAUCACGACUUUACAAAUUGAGAGCAUCCGGAAAGUGUCGUUGUGGGAGUAGUUCUAUAAUUAUCAGCUCCCUUAUGUGUUGAGUUAGAGGUAGUUCGAUUAUUUUCGACACAUUAUGCCUGCCAAAUGAAGAGUAGUUCAAUUAUUCUCGAUUCCCCCUGAGGCUUUAGGGAGGAAGUUAAGACCGGAUCUUAGCGUCGAUCAAGGUAAUUGUGUAAUAUAUUGGUAGUUUCUUCUUGAUAACAUGAUGCAUGGAUACUAAACAAGUUGAACAAAGCAUUGGCACUUCAUAACUUUGUAAAGGCAUAGUAUAGGCAUCCUUGUACUAUUGUUAAUAAUAACCUCAUAUCUUGCUUGUUAUAUUUCCUAUAACACCUCUUUUGAACCGAAUGAAUGUAGAUAAAAACUUACUAUUAUUAUUAAUAGUAAGGCAAAGUAUAGGCAUCCUUGUAUAUCUCUUACUAUUAGUAAUAAUAGCUUCAUAUCUUGCUUGUUAUUUUCUAUAACACCUCUUUUGAACUGAGUGAAUGUAGAUUGUUACUUUUGGCGAUUGCACCAACUAGAAACUUGUUUUAAGUUCUCACCCUAUUAUUGUUGUUAUUUUGCAAAUCUAUUGCCAGUGAGGCACGCAAUCGCAAUAAGGAUGCUGUUGAGUUAGAUAGACGCCACCUGCGUCGGUCUACUGUGGAUAGGGCUGUCAAAUGAGUGAGCCGGCUAGUGUUCGACUCGCGUUCGGCUCGAUAUUCGGCUCGCUCGAACUCGACUCGAAAUUAGAUGAGUCGAGCUUGAGCCAAAAAAAAAAAAAGCUCAAAAUUUAUUUCAAGCCAAGCUUGAGUAUUACUCGGCUCACUCGAAUUAGGCUUGAAAAGCUCGAAUUAAUAUAUAUAUAGUCCGGCUACUAUACUAUCGAUAGUAUCAAGCGCUUGGUGCUAUCGAGUUUUCUGCCGUUAGUUCUACUUCUUUGACUAUUUUCACUCGUUAGAUCACAUUAUUCAACUAACCACUUACUCAACUCUCGAGGACCACUACAUUCUAAGAGCCAAAAAUCUAAUAGCAAGUGCUUAGUACUAUUAAUAGUAUAGUAGCCUAAUUAUAUUUAGAGAAAUGAUUCGGUAUUUUUUUUGAAAAAAAUUAAAAAAGAUCUUAACCGUUGAUUAAUAGAGGGUAAAAAUGUAACUUUAAUACUUAGCAGGUAAAAGAAUUAUUUUAUUCAAAGUUAGUUUGGUAAUUAAAUAAUACAAUAUUUAAAGAAACUUUUAGGGAAAACUUCAAAAACCCCCCCUGUGGUUUCACACUUUUUCAUUUUAGUACCCUGUGGUUUGAAGUGUAUCAAGUUAGUACCCUGUCGUUUCUCACUUUAUCACUUUAGUACCCUGUGGUUUAAAAUGUAUCAAGCUAGUACCCUGCGGUUUUGCACUUUAUCACUUUAGUACCCUGUGGUUUCACACUUUAUCACUUUAGUACCUUGUGAUUUAAAAAACUAUAGGGUACUAACUUGAUACAAAAUUAAAACCACAGGGUACUAAAGUGAUAAAGUGCAAAACCACAGGGUACUAACUUGAUACACUUUAAACCACAGGGUACUUAAGUGAUAAAGUGAGAAACCACGGGGUACUAACUUGAUACAUUUUAAACCACAGGGUAUUAAAGUGAAAAAAAUUGAAACCACAAGGGGGGUUUUUGAAGUUUUCCCAAACUUUUAAUUGAGGUCCUAAAUUUUUGCAUUAAUUAGCACUAAUUUAGGAAAUUAAUUGAUUAACCAAAUUUAUGCAAUUAUUAGGCAUUAAUUUAGGAAUCUACUUUAAAUGUUUUAGUGCUUCUCAAAUUAUGCAUUAAUUUAAAUUAUUAAAAUUUUAGAAAUAGUUUUAUUUCUAAAUACGAUUUAAAAAUUAAAUACUUAAAAUUUAAAAGUGAAAUUUAAAUUAGAGGAAUUUCAUAUUAUUAUUUAAAAACUAAAUUUCUACCAAGAUUUAAAAUACAGUUUAUUCGCACCAGUUUAAAACGUAAUGCNAAUAAUAACCUCAUAUCUUGCUUGUUAUAUUUCCUAUAACACCUCUUUUGAACCGAAUGAAUGUAGAUAAAAACUUACUAUUAUUAUUAAUAGUAAGGCAAAGUAUAGGCAUCCUUGUAUAUCUCUUACUAUUAGUAAUAAUAGCUUCAUAUCUUGCUUGUUAUUUUCUAUAACACCUCUUUUGAACCGAGUGAAUGUAGAUUGUUACUUUUGGUGAUUGCACCAACUAGAAACUUGUUUUAAGUUCUCACCUUAUUAUUGUUGUUAUUUUGCAAAUCUAUUGCCAGUGAGGCACGCAAUCGCAAUAAGGAUGCUGUUGAGUUAGAUAGACGCCACCUGCGUCGGUCUACUGUGGAUAGGGCUGUCAAAUGAGUGAGCCGGCUAGUGUUCGACUCGCGUUCGGCUUGAUAUUCGGCUCGCUCGAACUCGGCUCGAAUUAAUUUCAAGCCAAGCUUGAGCCUAAGAUUAGUCGAGCUCCAAAAAAAAAAAAAGCUCAAAAUUUAUUUCAAGCCAAGCUUGAGUAUUACUCGGCUCACUCGAAUUAGGCUUGAAAAGCUCGAAUUAAUAUAUAUAUAGUCCGGCUACUAUACUAUCGAUAGUAUCAAGCGCUUGGUGCUAUCGAGUUUUCUGCCGUUAGUUCUACUUNUAAAUUUUCAGCUGUUGGAUGAAGAGAUGUGAGGUUAGGAUGAUAGAGUUCUCUGGUUAGAAUGAUAGUGGUCCCUUAGGGUUGAGUGAGUAGUUGGUUGAAUAGUAUAAUUUAACGAGUGAAAAUAAUCAAAGGGAUAGAUCUAACCGUCGAAACUUAUGAGUACAAAGGGGUCCAUACUCAUAAAAGUAUAGUAGCCGAACUCUCUCUCUCUAUAUAUACAUAUAUAUAUUAGGAAAAACUUCAAAUACCACCCAUGUGGUUUUACAUUUUUUUUAUUUAAGUACCCUAUGGUUUAAAGUGUAUCAAGUUAGUACCCCAUGGUUUUAUUUUUCACUUUUUAUUAUCCCCUCCACUAAUUUUUUCAUUAAAUCAGUAAUAAAGUUAAAACUAAAAGGUGCUAAAGUGAAUAUUCGAUAAACUUAAGUGGAGUAUCUGAAGUUUUUUAUAUAUAAUUUAACGGAAUGUUAACAGAUGAGCUGACGAAAAGAGAAAAAUAAAACCAUAGAGUAUUAAAUUGGUACACUUUAAACCACACAGUACUAAAGUGAGAAAAAGAGAAACCACAGGGAUAGUAUUUGAAGUUUACCCUAUAUAUUAAGUAUUUUAGUUAUAUGUAUAUAUACAGAGUUUAGGUUAUUGGGCCAAUAACCCACAAAACCAAACCAGCAUUUAGUUUUCACUUGUUCGCAGAAUGGUUUCCUCUAAUUUUUUAAAAUUUUAUAAUAUCGUAUUCCAUGCAUUUAUUUUGUAUGUUGAACUAUUAGACAUAUUUUGUAUCAAAUUUUAGAUAAUAUUUUAUAAAUUAAACUAUAGAUUGCACAAUAUUAAAAAUUCCAAGCAGCUCAUUUAGGGCUCGAGCUCGCUCGACUCGAAGUUAGACUCGCUCGAGCUCGACUCGAAUUAAUUUCAAUUCGAGCUUGAGCUUAAAUUUAAGCUCGAAAUUAAUUUCAAGCCAAGCUUGAGCUGAGGCAAGCUCGCUCAAGCUCCACUCAUUUCCCCCCAUAAGUGCGGAGAACUAUUUUGGAACAAAGAAACAUGUACUUGUUUAUACUAUGAGAGAUGACAAAUAUUAAUUCACCUCGGUCUUGAAAUUGUUCAAAAAAAAAGAGGAUAAAGUUGAAAACUUGAAAAAGUCAAUAAUAAACAAGCUUUCACUCUGAUACUUUAUUAUACAUAAUCUUGCAUGUGAUGUAUAGAUUAUGGUAUGCUACUGCUAUAGGCAGGAAAAACACUGUCUGUUCGUGUAAUAUACUGAAUCUCCGGGUUACGAAGCUAACUUUAAUUGAAUUGAUCAAAGUGAGGCAUGAGUGUAUGUUGUGGCAUCCCCAAGUCAAUUUGGAGGCGUGGGGAUGGUUAAUGGUGUGUUUCAGAGGUGUUUAGAUGUGUUCGGCGUGAAUUGGGCGCGAGAAUUGACCCCGGAACUUGGUUGCUGCCAAAUUGCAGGAUUUGUACUGAGUACCGGUACCAACUUAGGGGAGUACCGGUACCCAGCCCCGAAAACUGACUGCAUUGUAAUAUGAAUUACAACUUUUGUGGGGGGCUUAAUUGCAAUUGUUUAAUCUUAUCUAUAACCCCAGGUCCUCCGCCAGCUGCAUACGUGCAGGAACUCCCUCUCCCACCUUCCUUCUUAUCUCUUUCACCUUCUCUCUCUAGAACCUAUUGUGAGGGGAUUUGAAAGAGAGGGUUUGUAAAGUUGGGGUUUUGGUUGUGAGGAAGUUCAAGAACAAGGCUACUCUGGUGGAGAGGAUACCUGAGGUAGGUCUCUCAUGUUUCUUUAGUAAGGUUUGUUCUAAUUACCCUAAGAAGAGAUUUCUUGGUUGUUAGAGUUUAUUUUGUCAUGGAAACCUAGAAAGAGCUAUGUAUUGUGUAUUAUAUGUGAGUUCUUGGGUUAGAUGUGAAAGUUGUAGGAGUAAAGAUACAACAUGAGUUUGAUCUCUUGUAAUCCUAAAUGAAGGAAAGUUCGACGCGUUGGGAAGCACGAAUCGGCGUUCCAACUAGCCUAUGGCAAGCUAGUGAGGAAAAACCUCAUUUUGGCUUCAUUUGUCGCGAGCGAGGAGUGUGAUCAUUCAUAAAUCGCGAGAGAUGGUUUUCUCGCAGUCCGGCAUCCCUUAGAGGUGGGUGGUGCUUUCCGAAGUCAUCAAAUGACCUAUUAUGUUUAUGUCACUUUUCUUGUGCAUACAUGUAUAUGUUUAGUUGAUAUUCAUGCAUUAUAGAGUUGAGGUUAGCUUGUGGCUAAAUGUGAACAAGUUGGUAUACUUCCAAUGUAGAAAACAUGUGGAACGAUAAGGACCAUGAGUAUAAAACCCUAUAGAUGUAUGAACUUGUAUUGGACCAUGACAAUAGAAAACAAGGUGACAUGAUGACUAGUGUGAAUAAAUAGCAUCGAGGAUUGUGAAUGCUAAACAAGGAAAAUGAACUUGUAAUUUUCGUGGCAUUAUAACUAGAUGAACUGAUUAGCAUCUAGAAUUGGAAAUGUUAAAUAUAGCAUAAAGAGCUAGUUAAAGUGUAGUAUUGUAUCCUCUAAGUGAGGAUUGGAUCGUACCCACAAGUAGUCUAAUGCUCGAGGUAGAUCGCUCCACCUUGGGCGAUGAGCUCCGGAGUUGUCAUCAACUGGGUUGGUAGUGGAAUUCUCCCUAGUAGAAGGUCCCGUCGGGUUGUAACGAAAUCCUCCCCGACAAAAGGGAUUUGGUUGGUGAGUUGAUGUUAACCAAAUGGUUAACCAAGUUAAUUGGGUAAUGGUAAUAUGAUAGCAUGCAUGCAUAAACUUCAUGAGUUAUAUAUUGUUCUUUCCAGCUUUAUACAGACAUUGUAGUAGAUAUAGUUGGUUACUAUUUGUUAUCUUUUCUUGCCUACAUAUGCCUGAGUAAACCUAGUGGAUGAGUCGCCGAGGUCGGUAGCCGAAUCCACUGAAAACUUUCAGUAGUUCUCACCCCACUAACCAUACAGGUUCUAGCGCGUGCGGGGUGGUAGAGGAUCGUGACCUGGACAGCGCUUAAUAGAUAGCGAACAUCCAUUGAGUAUAGUUGUACCUUAUACAUUUAAUCUAUUUAUAGUUAAUGAAAGAAAAAUGUAAAAUUAUUCGUUUGAGAGAUGGCAAAUGUAUAUGUUGAGAAUGUAUGUAUGUAAUAACAAUGCAAGCUUUGUAUUUGAUUUAAAAUAAUCAAGAUACAAUGUAUGAAUGUUUUAAUUAGUUUGCUUUCACUUGCUCGUGUUGCUUGCCCUCGUGCAAGCCAUAUAUAUUGAAAUUUUUUCUGGGCAUUUUCUUAUACAUGUUUGAUUGUUGUGGAGCCUUAGGCGAAAAGAGAAGGUUCUGUUCGUUCGGCGUCUGUGUACCGGUCCGAACCGACCAAAUUGGCGGUCACGGAGCGUGAUAGUUCGGCAGGCCUAUCUCUCACCUCCGAGCGGCUCUUUGAAGUGAUCCCAAGGCGUUACAACAACGACAAAAAUUUUAUUGACAAUUAAUUUUAAAGAGAUAUUCAUGAUAUUUUAUAAUUUUGAAAACUAUAUUUGAGAUCGCCAAAAAAUGUAUGGAAGACUCCCAAGUCCCUACCCACUAUUCUUUAUUUUGAAAUUGCUCUCUCAACUUUUAUUCUUUUAUUAGUUUGGUAAAGAAAUAACUGUAGAAUAAUUUAUUUUAUUCUCGUUAUUCUGCCAAAUAAAAAUAUCUUUUAGAAUAUUUUAUUCCCAUCAAAGCCGGUUAUUCUAUUUUUUUUUUGGAUAAUGUUAAUAAUUCUUUCCAUCUGGAAUACAGUUUAUUUGGAAAAUUCUAGUGAACAGUAGGGUUAAUGUGGGCCGUGCCGGUCCGGACGGCUCACAUUAGCUGGGCGGAAUAAGAUAUGAGCGGCUGCGCCAACCCGUUUCUUGGUUUCAAAUUGCAGGCGGGCCUAUGGGCGAGCGUAUUUAGCCUUAAGCCCGGCAGACCUUUACGGCCGGAAGAUGGCGUGGUCGACAGGCUGUGCUCUGGGCCGCUCUUAAAUAUUUUUUUUUUUUUGAAAAAAUAUAUAAAAUCAAUUUAAACAUUUAUUUAAUUGAUAUUUGAUUAAAUUUAAAGUUUAUAAAAAUAAUUAUAAUAUAAAUAUUUUAAAUUAAUAAUAUAUUUGUAUUAGUUUAUGUUGAAGAAAAAUUAAGAUGUUUUUGGUCAUGGACAAACUAACUAUUGCGUCAUUGGACCAACCCAGUACUCCCAGAUCUGCCUUAGGGUUCUUCUCCCAGAUGAAGCUAAACCGCACAAGACGUGGGGAUGCCGGGCCUCUGGCUGGCCGGCUGGCACGGCCAAGCGGGCACUCUUUCGCCUCGGCUUCGAACCCAGGCAUAUUGUCGGUCCUAUUGUGUCGCGGCCAUCACUUAGGUUUUUUCCGCAGCACGGCCGAAGUCCGGACCGUCGGACCGGAGGGUGCUAUGCGCCUCGUGCUAUUAACCUCGGCGUGCGGCUGUGCCGGGCCGGACAGACGUUUUCACAUGGACUUUUUUAUAAAAAACUCUAAAUUUAAAUUGCGAAUACCCACAAAUUGUUAUUUGUAAAUAACUCUCUUUCGCCACGUCGGCGCCACGUCAGAUUUCUUUUAAAGGCAGGUGGAAUCGUUAUCCGUAUUCUCUUUUUAAAGCGGUGAAUCGUUCGCAGGUUCUUAUUUUUUUGAAAGGUGCGUGAUCAUUUACCGCUUUUCCAUAGUUAUUUCUAUUUAUUUAUCUAUAUUCAUAUUAUCACCUACAAACCAAUAAAAUUUAACAAUUAAUUGAAUCUUAAAAAACCUUUAAUAUAUAUAAUGUUUAAUACUCUGAUUUAUUUUUGGCAUAGAAUCUUAUAAUAAGUAUUAUACAGAUUUAAGGUGUGGCUCUUUAUUGGAAUUUAUUAUGAUAAUUAUUAGAUUUAAAGUUGUUAAAUUAUAUGGAUUUGAUAUAAAAGAAAUAGAAAUAAGUGUUGUGAAGGCGUUAACUAUUACCGUUUCCAUUAAAAAGUAUUAAUGGUGGAAAAGCGGUGAACGAACUUUACGUUUAAAGAAGAUGGGGAGACGGUGACGAUUACCGCUUGAAAAAGAAUAUGAGUAAGCGGGAAACAUGGGGUCCCGCUUUUAAAAAUAAGGAAAACGAUCGUAACGAUCAGUUUGCUUUGUAGAACUCUGACGUUGGCGCUAGUUGGCGCGAAGAAUGGUUAGUUUACAAAUAAAUUUUUAAUAUUUAGUUUUGCAUUAACAAUUUGUUUAUUAUGAGGAGUGGUAUUUUAUAUAAAGGCUCCUUUACAUGCCUAUAAAUCUGGCAGGCUUUGAAAUUGAUUAUUACUUUUUUUCUCCUAAUGCCUCUGAACUUGACGAGUACCGUCCACUGCGUCCUGUGCUUCCGUCUAUGCGUGGAAUUGCAGGAAGUUAAUUAUUAGUUUAUAGCUUAAUUAUUAGGUAUUAAGUAUUUCCGAUGUCAAUUUACAAUAUUAUUAAUAUAUAUUGGACUAAAUUUGAAUACAAUUUAUUAUAAUUACAUAUUUAAUAUAUAUAAUAAAAUAUAUUAUAAUAUAUAUAUAUAUAUUAUAUAUAUUUAUAUAUAUAUAUAUAUAUAAUUUAAUAUAUAAAUAUUUAUAAGCUGUAAUAGUAUUCAUAGUAUUUGAAUAUAAUAUUUAGUACUGGUUAUUCUUGACAAAGUUAUAUUCAUUUUUUCAUGUAAUAAUUAUGAAAUCAACCUAUACAAACAAAAAAUUGACUAGUAUCAUUAAGAAAAUUGACGAUUUUAUGAAAUAUUUUAAUUAUUUUGCAAGUCAAAUAUGUUAUCAUAUAUUUGUUUAUUUCAAAAAGUAAGUACAAGUUUUGCCAACAAAAAAUUACUUUGUAUUUUCUCUAUUAAUAUUAAUGUUUAUAUUUAAAAGGGUAAAAAAGUGUUACCCCGGGGCGUUUGGUUCGGGUGAUGUAAUAUUACCAGUAUUCGAUAUUAUUAGUUAUCUUGGAUUCGGCGUGGAUAUCUAUGUGAUUAGAGGUUUGGUUUAUACAGUAAUGUAAUACUUAGUUACAGUGUUUAUUGAGAUAACUAUGUUUGGAUAUCAGUGUUUAUAAAAUUUGGUAAUCUGAAUAAAAGUAUAGUUUUUUCUAAUUGCACUUGGUCUUUGAUUAUUUUUUUUGUGAGAAAUGACGAAGGAUGGAAGGAGAUCGAUUUAUAUAUUACUUUGAGGGGCCCGGAGGACGACGAUUAGGAGAUUUGAUAGUGUGUCGUGGCGAGUGUUGAGAGGAGAUGAAACUAAUGAGAGAGGAGAUGAGAGAGAGAGAGCGAGAGAAAGCGGCAUGCGAGAGAGAGGGCCGGGGGAAGGCGAGAGAGAGAUGAAAAUAAUACCGUUAAUUAGAUUUGGGGUUGUUGGAGGGUAAAAUUGUCAUUUUACAUAAUAUGUAGUAUUAACGGGUUUCAGUAAUGUAAGAUACACGACCCCCCUCCCGUUAAUAUUUUCGAUGUAAUCCUGCUCGAUUUGUAAUCCUACAUUAACGAUUAGAUUACAUAGCGGAUUAACCAAACAUAGUUAUCCUGGCAGGAUUGCCUGUAAUCCUGCCAGGAUAACUCGAACCAAACGCACCCUGAAGUCAUUAUGGUUUACAUCUCUUCACUAUUAAUUUUUCUUAUCUCAAAUUUCUACAUUGACGAAAUAAUUGGAAAUCUUUAUUUCCUUUAAUUGUCCGCGACUGUACGAGAUUUACGACUCCAUUUUUAGUGUAAAAAUUAUACAUUUUCAUUUUCUAAGGAGAAAAAUUUUUAGAAAAAAAAUAUCUUUUCACGGAAAACUUUUUUUUUUAGCUUUUCUGCAUGUUCAGUUUCAAGAAAAACUAUUUUUUUUGGAAAUUUUUUUUUUCAAAUUUUCAUAGAAAACUAUUAUUUUUUCUAUUUUGUUUUCAAAAAAUAAAAAACACUAGUUUUUUAUAUAAUCUAGAUUUUUUUUUUCCAAAAAUACUAGUUUUUGCAAGAAUCAAACAGGCAAGAAACUAAAAAAGAGUUUUCCACAAAAAAACUUUUUUUCCAAAUAUUUUUUUCACAUUUUUCCUAGAAAUGUGAAAUGCGAGACUUACGAACUGUUAAAAGUAAUUGGGACAACUUUUAAGGGUUGUUUGAUUCCUCUCAAAAUUCUAAAAAAUUAUUUUUCUUUGAGAAAAAAUGUUUUCAUGAAAAACGUCCUUUCUUAGCUUUUUAUUUUUCAAAUAAUAUUUUUAAAAUUAUAAAACACUUCUCCAUGAAAUUUGAGAAUAAAAAAGAAAACCGACUUUUCUUGCAAAAUAAAUGGACGAAAAAUAUUUUUUUAGUUAAAAAAAUAUUUUAAAAUAUUUUUUUUUGGAAAACCAAACAACCCAUUAGGGCAUGGUGGCAAGAGUGGAAGGGUUAAAUGCAUAUAGGUAACUGCAAAUAUAGUGAAUUACAAAUAUAUCCCUAUAAAAUUUAAUUUUUAUAUAUUGUCCAUACAAAAGUUCUAAUAUUUUUAAAGGUUAAUUUCAUACAGGUCUCUACAAACAUGAUGAAUAGCAGAUAUAUCCCUGCAAAGUUCAACUUUCAUAAAUUAUCUCUACAAAAGCCAUAAUGUAUUCAGAUAUAUCCUUCUGGUUUGGAUCUGUUAAAGAGCUGUUAAUUUUUUAACAGUAGAAUUGUGAAAUGACUAUUUUGCCCUUGCCCUCUUCAUCUUCCUCUUCCUCUUCAUGCUGUGGGAGCGGAUGGCGGCGACGGCGGCGACGGCGACGGCGACCUUGCGGAGCUUGUCGGGGUUGCGACAAAUGAGGAUAAGGAAGAGGCGGAAGGCGAAGGCGCAGCCGAUGCCGUCGGAGACGCCCGUGACGACGGCCCACGCGGGCACUAUGACGGCGACGACGAUCAGAUCAUCAACGAUGACGACGAAGAAGAAGGAGGAAAAUGAGGAUACGAAGAAAAAAAGGAAGAAGAAGAAGCAUGAGAGGAAGAGGAAGAGGAAGAGAAGCAUAGGAAGAAGAAGAGGAAGGGGAAGAGGAAGAAGAGUAAAAAUGCCAAUUUACCUUAUUAACUUACCACUGUUAAGUAUUUUAACUAAGGUUAACUAGAUUUCUCUAACGAGUAUUAACGGCAGGGACAUAUCUGAAUACAUUAGGACUUUUGCAGGAAUAACUUAUAAAAGUUGAACUUUACAGGGAUAUAUCUGCUAUUCAUCAUGUUUGCAGGGACCUGUAUGAAAUUAACCAUAUUUUUAAAUAAGGAUAAUUGCCUAUAUACGCUUCAUACGUUUGAAAAUAUUCGAUUUACCCCUACUUUUUUUUUUUUCUUUCUAAAAUACCCCUCAUAUGUUCCACCGUUAUUCCCAAAUAUCCCCGUAAUUAUCCCCUGUUAAACUAACUCGGAUUAAACAUGGAUUAAAUGUAUACCAUAGUUAAAACCUAAUUAAAAUACCUAUUUUGCCCGUACUUUAUUAAACUAUUCUCUUAAGUUAUCAUCUCUUUCUCUCCCAACUUAGCCUCAUUACCCUCAAGCCCGGCGCCGCCGCCUCCGGCAUCCAGUCGCCACCACCGCCAACCUCGGCGCCGGCUCCUCCACCUUCACCUCUGCGCCCAAGAAGCCUCGCCUCAUUCGCACAAAAAAAAACGGCUCGCCCGAGGCUGUCUGCGUGCUAUCCGCCCGGGGCCGUUCGCAUGCCUGGAGCAAGAGGGCGCGGUGUUGUGCGCGGAGGGGUGAAAUGGCGCAGUGUUGUGCGCGGAGGGCAGCAGCGGGUUUGCGCAGUCCACGAGGCUAGUUUGGCCUCAUGGACCGAAUGCGGUGGACCUCCCUCUCAUUAUAUAUAUAUAUAUAUAUAUAUAUAAUAUUAUACUAUAUUUAUAUAUAUUAUAUAUAUAUAAUAUCUAUUAUAUAUAUAUUAGUAUUAGUAUAAAUUUAUUAUAAAAUAUAAUAUCAUAUUAUUUAUAUUUUAAUAAGAUAUUCUUAUAUAAUUUAUUUAAAAUUUGUAAUAUUUAUUAAUAUUUAAUAUAUACUCUUAUAUAUUUAAUUAUGUUUAUUAUAAUUUAAAUUAUUUAAUCAUAAUAAAUAUAAUAAAUAUAUUAGUUAUAAUUAUUAUAUACGCUAAUUUUUUAUCCCGAAUUUAAUUGGGAAAGCUAUAAUACCAUAAUCCAGUAUCCGAAUAAUUGCGAAUUUGUUCCUAUCGUAUUAUUUCAAACGAAUAAAAAUUAAAACGAAUUAUAUCGUAUCCUCGAUAUUUUUUUGCCGAAUCCGAAUUAACUAACUAACUCCACACCAAAGGUUGUUAUGCUCGAUCAUACUUAUCGUAUUUGCGUCGCCCGACUGCUUAAUAAUUAAUGAUAUUUUGAAAGCAAAUAAGAAAAGUAUCUGUCUAGAAGGGUAUAUAAUGAAAAGUUUUAGUUAUGUAUAAGGUAUAUUGAAUUGGCAAAAGGAUAUUUUCAAUAGAUAAUGCAACUGUAACAUCUCCUAACUAAUAUUAACUCGCAGGUGUAAUUAGAUAUAAGAAUUGUCUAAUAAGAAAGAUUCUCAAUAUAUUUCUAUAAGAGCGUAAAUAAGAAAACCGAAAGCUUUCAGUAUAAUAGCAAUUGCCACUGUAACCCAAAUCCUCACAUCGGAUGGAAGGUUUGUCAUUGGUUAUAUACUUUAGACUAGGAAAUACUGGCUAAGCCUUUUGCGUGGUUUGGACUCACGAGUUAAUGUUGCCUAUUGGCUCUUGGGUAGUUACAUUUUGUAAUCCCCCCCCCCCCCCGCUCCGCCCCUCCCUCAGAGCCGGUUCACACAGCUUGACAUGUGUGAGUCUCGCUGAGCCAGUCUGAUGACGGCAGCGAGACGAGUCACAUAGCCUGGGAUCUUGGCUUUGGUGGAGGACUGAUCGAGGACGUCCAGGGCCUUAAAACGGGAAGUCUGUAACCCAAUAGUCCAUAUCCGGAAUGGAAUGGGUUGUCAUGGGUUAUAUAUACUUACGACACUAUAAUCAAUAACUGGCUUAAGCAUUUGGGCGUGUUGGCUCAACAGUUUUGUUCUUAUGGAACUGGGUCGUACCAUCAUGCCCUUUUUAAUAUAUCCCUCUGAUUUAUUACCAUUAGAAAAUUAUUUAUAUUUUAAUAGCAAAUAAGUAAAAUGUCAAUUUUGACAUCAUCAAUAUAUCUCUCCAAAAGCCGCAAUAGUUAUAAUUAUGCAAAAAUGCCCUCCCAAAAAAUUUUCGGUGACCAUUUUCUUCUUCAUUUUUUUCUUUUUUAAAAUCCAACACAUUCCACUAUUGUUACAACCUCUUUUCUCACUCCUUUUUUCAUAAACUUUUUUUCUUGCGCAAAAAAAAAAAAGAAAAUUGAAUGGAAAAACAACACGUGUUUGAUAUGGGUAAAGCAACAUGCGUCGUGAAUGAAUAAAGAUGAAGAAAUUCAAGUUAUGGAUUCAAAACUAACAUAAAGGAGAGAGAGGACAAGAAAGAGGAAAAGAAAGAAAAAGAAGAGUUCUCAUUGCUAGUGUUUUGAUUAAGAGAAAAAUGUAUAAUGUAAACUACGCUUCUUCUUUGUUGCUGAGUUAGCAGAUCCUGAGAAGGCAGAAGUCGUGAUCCUUGAGGCACUGGGAAAAAGCCCUAUGUUACUACCUUCCUUUGUUUUCCACUCACGAAGCUAGGGAACUGGAUUUGGGUUAAGUAUUUAACCUAUGAUUAACUAAAUUUUUCUAACAGAUUCUAACGGUAUGAACAUAUUUGAAAACAUUAUGACUUUUACAGAAAUAACAUAUAAAAGUUGAACUUUGCAGAAAUAUAUUUGUAAUCCACUACAUUUGCAAAAAUUUAUAUGCAAUUAACCUAAUAACUAAACUGUCUCAUGCAACAAUAGUGACGGGUAUGGGACGCAAAUUGAAAUGGAGCUCACCGGUGACAAUAGGGUCUUGGAGCAGGCUGUUUUUUAAAAUAAAAUUUUAAAAAAUUUAUAAGCUGUCAAAUGAUUUUAUGAAAAUUUUAUUUGGUCUAAUAACUUUAUUUCAUCCAACUCAAUAUUAGGAUAAAAGAAUAAUUAUGAAACGGUAAAUUAUUUACCAUCUUUAAUAAAAUUUAAAAGACGUUGAAUCAUUUAUUGUCUUUUUCUUGAGAUUAUUUAUUAAUAUUUUUAAAUAUAUAACUCUUAUAUAUUAUUAAUAUAUGUUUAUUAUAAUUUAAAUAUAUUUAAUCUAUAUAUAUAAAUUAUAAUAAUAAUAUAUAUAGUAUAUAUAUUAAUUAUUAUAUAGCUGAAUUUUUUAUCCCGAAUUUUUAAUUGGUGAAUGUAUAAUACCCGUAUAAAUCACGUAUCCGAAUAAUUACCGAAUUCGUUUUCUAGCUGUAUUUUUCAACGAAUUUAAAAAUUAAAAGACGAAUUAUAUCCGUACCGAAUUUUUGCCGAAUCCGAAUUAACUAACUAUACCUCCAGUCACCAUGGUUGGUUUAGCUGCGAUCGAUCUCAUCCGUUCAUCUGCUCGCUCCCGACGUGCUUAAUUAAUUAAUUGAUAUUUGAAGGGCAAAUAAGAAAAGUAUUUGCUCUAUAGAGGGUAUAUAAGAAAAGUUAGUUAUAGUAUAAGGGUAUAUUGGAAUUGGCAAAAUGAUAAUUUUUCAAAGAUAACGGCAACUGUUAACAUCUCACUAACGGAAUUUAACUCCAGGGGUAUAUUAGAAAGAACUUGGAACAUAAGAAAGGUAUUUUCAAUAUUUGCUUUCUAAGAGGGGUAAAUAAGAAAACCGGAAACUUUUCAGGGGUAUAUAGGCAAUUGCCCCUUUUCAAUAGAGUCGUGCUACCCAUACACCCCAUUUAGAGUUGUAGAUCCUACAACUCCUUGAUCCAACGGCUGAUAUAAACUUAGUUUAAAAAAAAAAAAAACCAGUGUUAACCUCACUCCCACAUUUUAUCCCCUCACGUUUUCCCUCUUUUGCCCUAAAUUUUGGCGCCAGCGUGCUAAAGAGAGAGAGAGGCGAGCGCUGUAGCGUGAGAGAGAGAGGCGAGCGAGCGAGGCAGCGAGCUAAAGAGAGAGAGGUGAGCGAGCGAGCGACCGAGAGAGAGAGGAGAGCUCGAGCGGGAGCGGGAGCAGGGCGCGAGAGAGAGUGNGGGAUAGGCAAAAGAUAAAAGUGGCUUGGUUCGGUCCCGGAAUGGAGAAGCGUAUACCGAUAGGAGAGAACCCUCUCUCAACUUUUAGAUACUUUAUAUCUAUUUCCCUCACUGUCUAUUCCAUUCAUUUCAGUAACUGCAGCAGGGUAGGAUGAUUGAUCCGAUGGGAUAGGUGGUGCCGUCUUCUUUAUCUAGUUUUGUUUGAUGGAGUACGCGUACGUGCUAUAGAAUUGCUGGACUCCGGUAUCAAGGUAGCGGCCGGUAUUGGCCAAAGUACAUAAUAAUCCGACAUCUCCACUGCAGACAGAACUUGUUUUAGCAAUGAGUCCUGCUUUGACUGACUGAGAUUUCUUUACUGACUGCAACCUUUUUUUCUAAUCAAUUUACGGCAAAGUAGUGAUCUCUCGCUAUAGCUUGCAUUUUGAACUACUCUUGCAUCCAAAACGGACCGGAGCAUAUAAGGAGAGUCUCGUCCCUGUGUACAGGAGGAUGGUCCUAUAACUCCUCUGACCUCUCUCUUUGUGAAAACCCAAUUUCGAGAGAAUGUGACUGCUCUGAGCUAUUGAUCGCUUUUAGCCCGUUCGACGCGAUUGAAUUCCGAAGCUCUCUAGUCCGCCCCUUGUUGUCCCCUGAACGAAGGAUCGGGAUCUAGACCGUAGCCAAUGCCUGAGUCAGUAGUUCAUUGGAUCAUUAGAGAUCGGCUUCCCUUCGCUCGUUGAAACAAGGAGAGGCCACCCGAACGAAGAAGUCGCAGAAGCCGGUGGACCGGCUGGAACAAGUAGAGGGGAACCCACCCUCAGAGGGGUUUACUUCUCGCCUGAUAGGGGGAGGAGGAAUUGUUGGAAGGCCAUCGAAGAAUCGGUUUCAUCGAAGGGAUAAGCAGAUAAGAGAGGCGCAGAUAGACAAUUGAGGGAUGGAAAGCACUGCUGAAGACAACUCUUUCCAUCGCCCAAGGCGCGGGUACCAACAAGGGCACUCCCAACUCUUCUGGAGCGUGUCGCCUCGGCCAAUUCCAAUAACCUCCUUCGGAAAAAAGGUCACCUCCCCCAGGAAUUAUCAGCAUUCACCCGCUCACCCGUCCAAUCCGAAAGCAGUCCACCCCACCGGAAAGUGAACAUUGAGUCGUGUUCGGUCUGACCUACCGGGACGGAGGGGGACUUGAACCCGCACACAGAGAAAUGAAUCUCUCAUCCGUCCUCUGCAGCGGAGCAUGUUUAUACCAUAUGCUCUAUCCCUUAGAUGUAUGAAUUUCGAGCUGGGGUGGGCAAGUUGAAAUAUGGACUGAAGGAGAUAUGGUUAAGUCCAUAUUUCAUAGGUAUUUACUUAAAAAUCAACUUGGGGCGGGGAAUAAAGUGAGGUUGAAAGCUGUUGACAGACAGAACUCUUUUGCGUGCGUGAAAUUGAGGUGGGGUGCUUUCCUAUGCGGUGGUAGUUCGGUCCGCGUGGCGACCACUCCACCAAUUCGAUUCUAUCUCCCGAAUCUUCUCCAAAGCGGCUUGCCUUAUCAAUCGAGAAUGUUCGAAUGAUAAUGACAUGACUGAACCAGUGCUUGAACCCCAUACAAGGCGAGGGCUCUCGAGAUUGAAGUAGUCGAGUUGGGGUUGUGGAGGACAUGAUAAAUAUGGGAGUUGGACAUAAGAUUUAGCAGUCCCGACCACAUAAAGUUAUACAGCCACCCAGUAGUAGUUUUGCCCCAACUCCUUGCUGUCUGUAGCUCAUUCUGCUUCUCCGAACGGGGCGUGGGGAGAAAAUCGGGGUUUGAGCCCGACUUGCCGGGCCCGGGAACAGCGAUGGAACGAGAAAUCCAAUCGCCCAUUCGCCCUAAUUUUCAGAACUUCAUUCCCUCCCCUCGGCUUGGAUGGCAGUCGAUAGAUGGCUUUCCCCCUUGCCCCUAUUCCACCUGCAGACACCCGGGACAAUCAUGCUUUGGUCUUUUGUGACGGGCUCUGUUUAUCAGAACCUAAUUUCAUAUCUUUUGAUCGGCCGGAUUCCCGAUUCGCCUAUUCGGUUCGAUGUCCUUUCUCCCGCCGAUUGAGCUCUGCCUGCCAUCUCAGCUUCUAGACUUGGAAUUGUUUCCUCAACCGGGUAAACGACUGCCUUUUACCCUUUGUACUCCGUUAAAUGGAUUCUGGUUCAACUGCUUGAAAGAAUGAAUUCUUGCUUGCUGGUAGUACUGCCUCUGAUGCAGCUAACUAUGACUCUAUCCACGAUGCUACAGUUUUCUAUCCGACCUCUGCAGGCGAUGGAUCUCACUCAUCGGAAUCAGGAUCUCGUUACCGAGGUAUGGAUAUUCGAAAUGAGAAAAAAAUCAUCGGCUGGAUCAAUGGCUUGGAACAGAAGGUAUGCUGCAAGCUCUGUUGCCGGUUCGAAUAAGGGUAGUGAACAAGAGCAUCUGCUGGUUCAACUACUGCUUAUGCCGGAUCUGGCCCCUCUACCUUUUAUCUGGUGAUAGGCCUACCUUUUCGUCUACUCCUUUGCUACAGCCUUACCUACUUGAUGAGCUUCUCAAAUGUUUUAGCAUCAAAGGCAAAAGAUCAUUGAACUUUCAUUCGAGANAUCAAAUAUUUACUUUAGUACCCUUUAGUUUUAACUUUGUCACUACUUUUUUUUCCUUCGUUAAUAUUUGGUUAAAUUAUAUACAAAAAAAACUUCGGAUACCUUAUCUAGAUUUAUCGAAUAUUUACUUUAGUACCCUUUUUAAUUUUAAUUUUGCCACUGAUUUAACGAAAAAAAUUAGUGAAAUGGAGAAUAAAAAGAAAAAAAAUGAAACCACAUGGUACUAAAGUGAGAAAGUGCGAAACCACAGGGGCUAGCUCGAUACACUUUAAACCACAGGGUACUAAGUGAGAGAGUGUGAAACUACGGGGGAGGUAUUUGAAGUUUACCCAAAAUUUUAUAAUUGGCUAAAUAAUACUGUUAAAAAUUAUUUAGCCGAAUGACUUUCCUUUUCCCUAAUUCAGUGCCAUUGUGGCUAACUCUUCAAGAAGACAGUGAACGAUUCACCGCCUUCUAAAUUUUCUAAUAAAAUGGUGAAUGGUUCAUCGCCUUUAAUAAGGCGAUGAACUAUUCACAACUUUUAAGCUUUUUCCACCUACUCCAUCCUUUACUAACUAAUGAACAUAAGUGGAAUGUGAGGUAGUGGAGAUAGAAAGAAAGAUAGUUAAAUGAUUCAUGUUUUUAUAAAGACGGUGAAUCACUGUCUUUACUAUUUUUUUCCCAUCCUUCCUCACUCCACAUUUCUUUUAUAAUAAAUUUCAACAAUAAUAAAUUUUGACAAUAAUCAUAUUUUCAACAGCACGAAACUUUUGAAACAAAUUUCAACAAAGAAAAUUUGGACAACGCUUUGCAGUACGCUAGACUGAAGACUAAGGAAACCUCG